AACUUAGCACAAGUCAAGUAAUCAACCUACACAUGCAACUCUAAGAGUGUGGCGGCGGAAUGUAAAACAUUGCAUAUGAAGGUAAAAGGGAAGGGUUUGGAGAAGGCAAAUGCAAUGUAGACACAGAGAUUUUUGGCGUGGUUCCGAUAGGUGGUGCUAUUGUACAUCCACGUUGAUGGAGACUUCAACCCACGAAGGGUAAUGGUUGCGGGAGUCCACGGAGGGCUCCACCCAUGAAGAAGCAACCUUGUCUAUCCCACCAUGGCCAUCGCCCACGAAGGAAUUGCCUCACUCAGGUAGAUCUUCAUGAAGUAGGCGAUCUCCUUGCCCUUACAAACUCCUUGGUUCAACUCCACAAUUUUGACGGAGGCUCCCAAGUGACACCUAACCAACCUGGGAGACACCACUAUCCAAAAGUUAAUAGAUGGUGUGUUGAUGAUGAACUCCUUGCUCUUGUGCUUCAAAUGAUAGUCUCCCCAACACUCAACUCUCUCUCACAGAUUUGGCUAUGGUGGAAAAAUGAUUUGAGUGGAAAGCAACUUGGGGAAGGCUAGAGAUCAAGAUUCUUGUGGUUGGAUUGGAAUGUCUUGGUCUCAACACAUGAGUAGGUGGUUCUCUCUCAAAAAAUGAGUAGUGGAAGUGUAGGCACGUUCUGAUGGCUCUCUCACAAAUGGAGAAGGGGGUGGAGGGAUAUAUAUAUAUAGCCUCCACAUAAAAUCUAACAGUUACAAACUUUUGACCCAACUCGGUCAGGCCGAAUAGGUGAACUCGGUGAGACCGAUUUACUUCAAAAUGUGAAUGUUAGGAUUUUCUGUGGGACCGACAUGAUCACCUCAGUGGGACCAAUGUGCCAGGGCUAGGGCAAAACCUCAUGUCGAUGAGAUCGAUCGCAUGAACUCGGUGAGACCGAUUUCAGCAAUUAAUCAAACAGAGAGUUGGUCAAGCAAUCUCGGUGGAACCGAUCGCUCAUUUCGGUGAGACCGAAAUGUUACGAGAAGGAAACGGAGAGUUUUCAUGUGAACUCGGUGGGACCGAUCGCUCAUUUCGAUGAGACCGAAAUGUUACAAAGGGAAAUAGAGAGUUUGCAAAGCCAUCUCGGUGGGACCGAGAGCCGUAUCGGUGACCGAAUUGAUUUGGGUUUCUGGCUAUGGCUAUGUCAAGAGAACUCAGUGGCGCCGGAUAGAUCCAAACGGUGGGGCCGAUUUUGACUUUGGGUUUAGGACAUAUUUGGAUUUGAGAAAGAGUGUUUUAGGGCUUUGGAGCAUAUCACUAAGCAUUUGAGCAAGCAAGCCAUUAAGCAACACCUCAUCCCCUUUUAAUAGUAUUGGCUUUUCCUAUGGACUCAAUGUGAUCUUGGAUCACUAAAAUACAAAUGAAGAGUCUUGAGCUUUUGCCAAUAUGUGUCCUUGGUAUUUUGAGGGGUCCACAUCUCUAGUCCAUGCCAUGCCAAUCAUUGAACUUUCUAAAACAUUUAACUUGAGUGGAUAUUAGUUCAAUGAGCUAUAUGUUGUUAUGAAUUACCAAAACCACGCGGGGAUUAGUUGCACUUUCACCCAUGCUAAAAGGGUUGAUGUGUGGAUCCUUGCCAAGGGCAUAUGUACCUACAAGCAACAAGUCAAUAUUAGAAGCUAACAAGUGUCCAGGCCUGGAUCUAUAUGCAGUACAUUAUGGAAUGACGGGGGGAGUACAAGCCGAGGGAUGAAAGUAACCUAUGCGGAAAAUGGUGGCCACUCCCGUUGUUGUCCUGCAUGAGUAGUGGAAAGGCAUGAUAAGUACAACAACCUUAACAUCAAACAAAUAUAGCAAAGGUAAACAACAUCAUCUCCAAAUGAUAGCUUGAAUGUGUUGGUUUUAGCAUGCUGUUGAAGCAGAUAUAAAAUGGAAGGCGAUGUUACCGACAAUAGGCUUAAUAGCCAUCAAAUGUUGCAAUUCAAACUGGUAUUGUUGAAAAUCAAUAGAACGUAGGUAAUGCUUAAACAUCACACUGGAUAAAUGUGUAAAACUGAAAUAAAGGGCAUGUGUUAACUACACCAGGCAUAACUGGAACCAAAUAUAGUUGUUCAAACUGGUAUUGAUGUAGUCGAGUGGCACAGUUCUGACUUGCACAUAAUGAACAUCACAUUGUGAAUGACUCAAAUAAACAAGGCAUAAAUGAUCAUUAUAACAACCAAAUAUAGCCAUUAAAAACCAGAGUCUCACUGCAACCAACCUAACAAGCAAAUAUAGAUAAACAGGGCAUAUGCUUGAAAACUGGACAAAUGCUCACUACAACCAACCUAACAAGCAAAUACAGAUAAACAAGGCAUCUUUUUGAAAACAAGACAAAUGCUCACUACGACCAACCUAACAACCAAAUACAGAUAAACAAGGCAUCUGCUUGAUAACUGGACAAAUGCUCACUACAACCAACCUAAGAACCAAAUAUAUAUAAACAAGGCAUAUGCUCGAUAACUGGAAAAAUGCUCACUGCAACCAACCUAACAACAAAAUACAGAUAAACAAGGCAUCUAAUCACUAUAAACAACCAAAUAUAGCCAUUCGUGAAAUUGAAGUGGACAAUUCAUACUUAAACAUCACAUAGCCCUAUUAAAUAAUACAUUUUUGCAUAACUGAAAUAAUUAAACAUGGCACAGUUAAAGCACCACACGACAAAUGCUACUACAACAAAGGGUAUGGGUUGGCAAGCUAGAAAAGGUAAGAUUUGUUGAUAGGAUGUUGCCUCACAUGUCAUGGACGGGAUCCUUCCCGUUGGAAGAGCACAGACCCAUGGUGCACUCUCUGAUGUCACAGAUGGGUUGUUUCACCUUGGAAGAACCUUUGUGGGUACCCUCCUCAUGGUCGUCGUCGUGGUCGAUGAGAUCUGACUUGGCAAUUGAGGAUCCCAAGAUGCCGUCAUGGAACGUGUCCUUCAGAAAUGACAAGAUGGGCCUGAUGGCGUACAAGGAUCGCAAAUCCUUGACCGCUUGGCGGAGGAGAACAGUGGCAGGGCCGUUAAAGAGAUCGACGGUGGUUGAACCAGAGUGGUUGGGGAUGGACCACUUAACCUGUGGCAUGGCCUGCGUGAAGCCGUCGUUGUCGACGAGCUUGAUGUCAUAGCCAGCUUUCCCGAGAUACAGUAAUAUGCUAGCCCGCUGACAUGAAGCCUUCGGCAUGGCAACGUAGUCAACAUCUUCGCUGGCUUCUGCGGCGACAUGUUGCCCCGGGAUCAAUAGGUCAGGGCGAACGGUGGCCACCUCGCCAACAUCUGUCAAAGAGGCCAUGAUAAACCUCUUCUUGGCCGAAUGCUCGUCAGGCUCCCAGGGAUACGUGGUCGAGCUUAGGUUGCGACAUUCUGGAGUAGGGGAUGUGGAUCUGGCGGGAAGGGACACCGCAUGCCUCAUUUAAAAACUCAGGGGAGUGGGGCGAUGGUAUGGGAAUCGCUGGGUAACCUAAACUUUAUUAUCUAAGCUAGGAGGAACAGGCAGACCGGCAGGGGUUGGCGGAGGUGCCGGCGGCGGCGGCGAGCUUGGGUUCAAGGGGGAGGGGGCCGGGUUGGGGACUGUGGAGGGGGGUGUUUGAGGAUAUGUCGCGGCUACUAAAAUUUUUGGUAAUGGUGGGUGGAGAUGGUGGUGGACAAGGGAGGGUGACGGUUCAAAUACCUUAGCUACUGCAAUUUUACUAUAAGGUCGGUGUUGGAGGAGUGUGGGCGACGGUUGAAGUACAGUGGCUACUAAAAUUUGGGUAAAGGAAUCGAUGCAGGGCGGGAGUGCCCAAGAUCGCACACGGUCCGAUAAGAAUAUGCGUGUAUGGUAAUAAGGAAAAGUGGCGGAACCGCCGAUUUUUGCAACGCUCAAGGCACGUAGUUUGUUUUUAGAUUUCUAGCUAGAUGGUCUAUUGCACACGGUUCGUCCUAAUUUCUAAAUAAACUACCAGCCUUUAGCUUGCGUAGGUGGUGAUUUUACAACGCACUUGCAUCGCACAUGGUUAAGCCAGUAGCUCCACCCUUUGCUCGCGCUUGCACAUUCGUGGUGAUUUUAUAGCACACUUGCAUCGCACACGGUUGAGCCAGUACCUCCACCUUUGUUAGCGCUUGCAUAGUCAUGGUGAUUCACAGCGCACUUGCAUCACACACGGUUAAGACAAUAUACCCGUGUCCGUUGAGCAUCAUCAGAGACUUUGCAGCAAAAAAAUGUUAGAGAGGGUCAGAAGACAGCCACAUCAGCAUGUGGCCCAAAUAUAUAUGAGUGAAAAGGAUGGUCUCUGAUGUUCAAAAUUCCAAUGCACAACUUUGACCGCGCAGGCCCACGGUUGGGCGCAUCGUGGAAGAUCGAUGAGAAGGGCCAGAAGUCAAGAACCACCUAGAAGUGGCCAAAUAUAUGUAGGAGUAUUGGGUGUGAUGUUUAAAUCUUUAAAUACACAAUGUACAAGUUUGGUGGCACCUGCCUCACAAACCCGAAAGCACCCUUGGAUAUUCUAUAAUGACAUAAUGUCGUAGCUAGCUAGGGUCCUUGACCCACCACCUCCCACUUCGUGUCAGCGGGGCGGAUGCCCAUAAUUAUACUUUGGUCAUACAUGCAUGUCGCCAUGAACUACCGUAAGACAGACCAGUGAAUCUAUCGUUUGGUGAUGUGUGUUUUCAAUAUAGAAUAAUGUACAAUUUAAAUGUGGUGCCUACCUCUCGAUAUAGAAAACAACCAUGAAGGCCAGGUAGUUAAGGACGAGAUACUCAGGGUACGGUGUAGGUCGAACCCAGCAAUCCGAGCAUGUGGGAGGGAAUCCUGACAAAGCAUGAGCUCGAGCUUUGGUUGAACGACAUGUGAUGGUGACCAGCCCUAACAUGAACUAGGAGGAAUCCAUUCAUGGCCAACUCAUACCCCUCGUUAUCGAUCAAAGGGAUGAUAUAUAUACACUCACAGAGCCCACAGAUAUGUGUGUCGUCACAAAAAACCGCACAAGGGUGACGUGGUUGAUCAGAAGACCCCAUAUACACUGCAUGCGGCCCGAAAAUAUGUAUGGGUACGGUGGUGUGUGAUGUGUUUAAACCCCGAAUGCACAACUUCGAUGGACCACCAACUACAAUACAAACCGAACACUAUACUCGACCCCAAGCCUGGUUCAAUACAUACAAUGUCGGUUUCCCNNNNNNNNNNNNNNNNNNNNNNNNNNNNNNNNNNNNNNNNNNNNNNNNNNNNNNNNNNNNNNNNNNNNNNNNNNNNNNNNNNNNNNNNNNNNNNNNNNNNNNNNNNNNNNNNNNNNNNNNNNNNNNNNNNNNNNNNNNNNNNNNNNNNNNNNNNNNNNNNNNNNNNNNNNNNNNNNNNNNNNNNNNNNNNNNNNNNNNNNNNNNNNNNNNNNNNNNNNNNGCUCCAACUUUAUUUGGUCUAACAUGGCACACAUAGGAAUAGGAAACCAUCAUGGUCAAAUCCUUCUCGUUCUUAGGUUAAAGGGAUAGAUUUUGUGGGGCCCCUCAUUAUCAGUGAAGGAUAAUAUAUACUAGCAAGAGGCCCAUGCAUUGCACGGAACAUAAAGAUGCAUUUAUACAAGUUGUUUAUCUUGUGGGAGACAAAGAUGAACGAGGGAAGGCCUUAUCUGCAAAUGUGGAGAGGGGUGCAUGUAUCUUUUUGCAAAAUUGCCAUAGUUUGCUUUCUAUCUGUUAGAUAUAGAUCGGACAGUCUAUAUUGCAGGAUGGCAGGCACACCAUCAUCACUAACUCGGUUUUUAAUAAGAGUAGAGAUACCUCGGGGAGCCCACAGAUAUGUGCAGCAUCUAUAAACCGCACAAGGGAGACAUGUUCGAUCAGAACACCCUGCCCCCUAUACCCUGCAUGCGACCUGAUUAAGGUUUAUAUAAUCGCCAUGACAGGUCACUAUAGAGUCAACCAUUCUUUAAUUUUUUAGAGCAAAAUAUAACCAAUAAAAAUAUAGUCUACAAAAUAGCAAAACAAGGAUCCCAAGGUUUAUAUAAUCGCCAUGACAGGUCACUAUAGAGAUAUUUAUCUCUUUAUCUCUAUAAUGACCGUGUCAUAGCAUUUAAAUGAAGCUUGAGAUAUGCAACUUCCCACCGGGUCACCCAUCCUUGGACUACUCCAGCCCAAGCAUGAUUAACUUUUGCGUUCUAUUCGACUAGGCUAGCGGAUGGGAAGCCGCACCUUGCUGAUAGGAAUUGCCUCCUUGCCUUUAAGGUGUUUCAUGUUGGUCACCCUAUGGGACCUACUCCCUCCUAUCACACACAUUUGUGCUUUUAGAAACUGUGUGCGAUAUUUACAUGGCCGGUGUGUCGCCGCCUAGCCUUCAAUGAGAACUGACACUGGUAGUGGGAAAAUGAUGGGAGAAGAGGCGGGAAAUCAAUGAGAGGAGUGGCGGGAAACAGUAGCCUGUUUGGAUAUAUAACAACAUUAAUAUACAAAACUUAGUAGAGAAGGAAGCGUGAGUUAGCACGACGCAUGCGCACAGUGCUUACCCAUAUACUGCAUGUGAUGUCGAAAGGGCUGAGGAUUGCCAUUCCAUCUGGGAGCAUCCAACAGUGCGGACGUACGAUCUGUGGGGUUUGGGUUCUAGCCAAUCAGAACGCACGACUCAGAUCACGCGCGCUGCAGGAGGAGGGGGCAUCGGCCACGGUUUGGUAGGCAUACGGCUUUCGUGAAUGAACCAUGUGCUAUUUGAAAACAUUUCGUGAGAAGAAUCUCGGUUUUUAAAUCCCUGUAAAUCCAAAACUCACCGAAAAAUCGUGAAACUUGGCAUGGUGUCACGACAUGGCACAUAUAUGUCAAGGAACUUUUUUUGUCCAUUUUGGCACAAGUUUUAUUACAAGCCUCUUAUAAACUGCAGCUUCUCUCAAAGAAGCCUCAUGGUUCCUAUAGGGAAAUGUGUCCCCCUUCAGGGAGAAACGAUAAUCAUACCUCUUUUCGCCUUGUAUUUUCUUCUACGGGAAACAUGGAACGACAAGAUAUCCAUGCUGAAAUUUAAACUUAUUCAAGGUUUGUUUGUACUUUUAUACACUAAUUGAGUUUCCUAGGCAUUUAAUGUCCAUAAUUCAAAUCUGAACUACAAAUACAAGCUCCAGUUCACCAAAAUGGUUAGAAAAAUUAUACAUGUGUCCUUGGGUGGAUGAUUAGGUCCCAUGCCAGGAAUGGGAACGAAUUACAACCGUACCGACGUCCUAGCUCGUCCUUGAACAUUUGGAAUCUUGGUUUUUAAAUCCCCAUAAAUCCAAAACUCACCGGAAAGUCAUGAAAGUUGGCAUGGUGUCACGUGAUGGCACAUAUAUGUCGUGGUAAAAACAUUGUCCAAUUUGGGCCAAGAUUUAUUACAAACCUCUUACAAACUAGAGCAUGUCGCAAUAACCCUCGUGGUUAUGAUAGGGAAACGUAUCCCCUUGUGGGCGAAAUGGUAAUCGCUCCCUCCUCUAGCCUUGUAUUUGCUCCUACACGCAACACAGAACAAUGGGAGAUUCGCGCUGAACUUUGAAAUUAUUGAAGGUUCAUUUGACCUUUUUUAUUCAUUAAUUGAAUUUUCUAGGCAUUUAAUGUCCAUAAUUAAAAUCCGAACUACAAAUGCAUGCUCCAGUGCACCAAAACAGCUACAAAAACAUACAUGUGUCCUUGGGGCGCAUGUUUAGGUCCCAUGGAAUGAAUGGGAAUGAAUUCAACCGUCUCGGCGUCCUGGCUUGGCCACAAACAUUGGGAAUCUCGGUUUUUAAAUCUCUAUAAAUCCAAAACUCAUCAGGAAAUCAUGAAACUUGGCAUGGUGUCACUAGAUGGCACGUAUAUGUCAUGGUAAAAUAAUUGUCCAAUUUGGGCCAAGCUAUAAUACAAGCCUGUUACAAACCAAAGCUUCUCGCAACCCCCGUGGUUCCGGUAGGGAAACAUGCUCCACUUGUGGGCAAAACGAUAAUCGUUGCCUCUUCUCGCCUUGAACUUUGUUUUCUACAGGCAACAUAGAAUAACAAGAGUGUCGUGCAGAAAUUUGAAAUUGUUCAGGGUUCGUUUGGCCAUUGUAUAUAUUAAUUAAGUUUUCUAGGCAUUUAAUGUAGUCCAUAAUUCAAAUUUGAACUACAAGCACAUGCUCCAGUGAAGCAAAAUGGGUGGGAAAUUGUGCGUGUGUCAUUGGGUGCAUGUUUAGGUCUCAUUUAAGGAAUGAGAAUGAAUUACAAACUGCUCUUCGUCUUGAAACAUUGAGAAUUACGGUUUUUAAAUCCCUGUAAAUUGAAAAAUCACUCAAAAAACAUGAAACUUGGCAUGGUUUCAUGACAUGGCACAUAUAUGUCGUCGUAAAAAAAUCAUCCAGUUUGAGACGAGGCGCACACAUUAAUAGCCAACGAAGUCCUUUUGAAACAAAUAGCUGACACGUUAAUAUCACAAACGGCUGUAUUAUAUGAACCAUGUGUUCCCGUAACCAUUUAAAUGCGGCCACUUCCUCUUCCAAAAUUUAACCAUACUCGGUGGCGUGCGUGUAGCUGUUUGAUUAGACGGGACAAGCACGAGAAGUCCGCCGUGCAGGCUCGACGGGAUGCGUGCGAGUAGUCCACCGCGUAGGCUCGACAGGAUGCGUGCAUCUUGUCCACCUCGCAAACUCGACGGGACACGUGCGAGCAGCAAGGCCCCCCAUGCUCAUCGGGAAGCAAACUCUUUGACCUUCAUCCACCAGCCGCCCGCCUCGCUCACAACUUCUCCAUUAAUGGCGGCCGAGCCGCUGUUUAACACGUAGUUAAUUAAAGCAUCUGGACAGAGGGUGUUUGCUUGUGAUCCCAUGGCAGCAUUUGCUUUUUUCGUGUUUUCAACUUGUAUUCUGGCCUAAUUUAAAUUGCCACAUAGGGAAACGGAUAAUAUGACGACAUAUAAAAUGGCAAUGGAUAAUAUGAUGACAAAUUUACAAUGGUGUGGACAAUAAUUUUCUUACAUAUUCUGGAUAAUUUAAAAUGCCACAUGCGGCAAAUCCCGGAAGACACGGGGGCAAGAGAAGAAGGAAAUCGCAGACAAUGAUCUGGGUCGCUACUGUCUCUACUCGUCGACGGAUCGUCGGGCGACAACAUCCUCCAGCUCCUUCUUCAAUUCCUCACAACUUUGCUUGAAAGCAGCGACAGAUUCCUCCACCUCCUGCUCGUGCUCGAUCCGGAACUUCCUCAAGUCACCCAUCAGUUCCUCGACGACCAUUGUCAGCGUCAUCCCUGAGGCACUUCUCUGCUCAUGCAGCAUCUUCUAGCCAGCGGCCUGCUCCUCCUUCUCGGUGAGCGCCUUGAGGAGCUUUGCAUUGUCACCCAUGAGUUGCUCGAUGAGGCUGGUCGCCUUGUCAACCGAGGCAUUGCUGAUCUCGAGCUACUUCUUCAAGCCGUCGACCAGCUCCUGCUGCUUAAUGAGGCCAGCGAGAAUGUCGCCGUCGCCAACCAAGGACUUCAGCAACGCCAGCUCAUCGCGAUCGUUGACACGGCGAGUGCACUUGUGAGAGCCUUCGCGUGCCCGUGAGAGCUUGUUUGAGGGCUCCACGGCGCGCCAGGACAUCUUUGCUACGGUUGCCGCUUUGCGAACGAACCUCUCUAGUGCUUCCGCGGCCUUGGUCUUUGCUGCCUGGUUAUAUGUCCACCCGAAACUCCUCCUACCGGUCAUGGCAGAACGACAUGACAAGAAAGACCAGUUUUGUGGGUGAUGAGGAGAGGAACUGUGAAGUAAUUUUUGAGUGGGUAGUUUUUAUAGCCCGGUGCUAAGUGUGAACACAUAUUAGUUUGAUAGGUGUGACGGAAUUGCAAUUACUUACUGCAUUGUAAUCUGCAAUGUGACGAGAAACAAUGUCAAAAUUUAUUGAUGGUUCUAGGCCUACAAAGCCCAUUUCUGUUGUUCUGGCUCAUCGCAAAUAGUUCUUUUGGAUCAAUCGUAUGCCACGCAUCGGAAGCCCGAAAUGUGGGCCCGCAUUCUCGGAUAUAUGUACGUGUCUUCCCACUAUCGCACACGGUCAAGAUAUCACCAUCGUGUCCUAUGGAUGCGCUGUCGCGCCUCCCACGAGGUGCCAUAAGGUUGACCACAUGGUUGCUCAUCGUUGAGGCGGCCGCGGCGCACUCUGCUCCUCGUUGAGGCUGUCGCGGAGCACUCUGCUCGCGUUCGUCCGUGUGUUUUGCUCGCCAUUGAGGCAGUCAUGGCGCGCUCUGCUCUGGUGUCCCUGCGCGCGCUCUGCUCGUCGUUGAGGCAAAUUUACAAUGGCAAUGGUUAAUAAUUGUCUUACAUAUUCAGGAUAAUUUAAAAUGCCACAUGCAGCAAGGCCCAAAACACUCACGACCUACAUAUGCAUACAAUUAUAAUAAAAUAUAGGCUAAAAGGCUAAGCUGAUGGUCUUCCGACGACGGUCUUCUCAGACUCCAUGAUCAGCAUAGCACCCUUGCAGCCGUUCAUUCCAAGUGUCCCGACCCGCCUCCGCCUACGGAGUUGCUGGCGCUGGGAGGCUCUUGGGGUUGCUGGGCCUCUUCCAAAAGAGCUUGACAGCGUUUAAUCACGCGCAUGAUAUCUCCGCGGAACCGCUCCAUUUACAUGUCUCUGGCCUGGUAGAAAAUUCUGUCCAUCACUUGCAUCCUCAUGAUAUCACGUUGGCGAUGUUCUACUUUAUCGGAGAUGUCACUUCCGCCAAGGAUGCGCUCGAGCCUGGCCACCACAUCGUCGGGAUCAAGGUUGACACGGCCGCCUCGGGCAAUGAUGAAGGCGCAUGUUGCCUGUGUCUUGACUGAAUCGUAGAGGUCCUCUGCCCAUUCCUUGCGGGGCAUCAGGCUCUCGAUGAGCACUAGUGACGGCGGCUCUUCGGGUGGGUCGUCGAUCAUGCCGCCGAGCAGCUCUGGAUCUUUUGCAUGGUGAAAAUUGAUCAACAGACCUCCUCUGCAAUAUGUCGAUUGUGCGCCCAAGGACUAUCACACCGAUAUCGCUGCCGAUGGGCCAUGGUGCCUGCACAUGGACUAUCAAGCUCUUGCUCCCCGACCCGCUCCGGCUCGUUCUCCUCGUCGAAGAUGUAACGCAGGUAGGGGUCUACGUUGAAGCUUUGGUCAUUGCCUGGCAUGCUUGGAAUAACUAAUGGUAGAUGGGUGAGGACUAGAUCUGCGCAGAGUAUCACGACGGUGCAUUGUCGCUUGGGUUAUCUGCAGCAAGCCAUUAGCUGGUGGCGGGAAACUGAUGAGGGAAGCGGCGUGGAUUUUACAAUUCACCCAUGUGGAGCGUGAGAAGCAUUCGUUGGAGCGGGGGAAGACUAAGUGGAGCACACACACAACCCGAAUACCGUUUGUGGUGCCACGUGUUAUUUAUCACACAUGUGUUAACAUAAGGAAACGUAUGUCUAACUUAGUAAUCAUCGCACACGAGUACUCGCAGACGCAUUGUGUGUGAUACUCCUAGCCAUCGGAAGAAACUAGUUUGCAUUUUUCAAAGUUUUUCGUACGAAAAGAAUCGCACACGAACUAACUAUAGUAACCGUUUGUGUUAUAAUUUCUCAUCACAAAUAGUUCAUCCUAGUGGGUUGUUUGCUGCUAUCACACACAUCUUUUUUACACGAAUCAAUUGUGUUCUUUUGGCUCAUCGCAAAUAGUUCAUCCAUGUGAACUGUAUGCCACAUAUCACACACAUCUUGUCUUUUUAGGAACUGAGACAGUGGGAGAGGCUCCCACUAUUAUAUAUUAAUUAUCAUAACAUACUUACAGAGUGUAGUCACAUCAUGUACAUUACACACAUCUUGUUAAGUUGAACCGUUUCUGUUCUCUUCCCUAAUCGAAAACAGUUCGUCCGAGUGAACCGUAUGCCGUAUAUCACACACACCUUGAUCUGGCUGACCGUUACUGUUGCAUUCCCUAAUAGCACACAGUUCAUCGGAACUGUGUGCCGUAUAUUGCACACACAUUGAUAUGGAUGCCUGUUUCUACUGUUCUGCCUCAUCGCAAAUAGUUCUUCUGGAUCAACCGUAUGCCCCGCAUCGCACAUGUAACUAAAAUCCAAAACGUGUGUGAUUUCUCCGCCAUCGCAAAUGUUUUGCGUCUUUUUAGACUUUUGUUUACAUCCCCGUUUGCAAUUAAUGCAUCGCACAUAGUUUCAUCAAAGGGUCUCAAAUGGUAGUGUCGCAUUAGCAUCAUCCUCUAGUAGUGCUACAAACAUUGGGUCUCAUGACCCUUUUCACAAAGUCAUACAAACCAAGCAGAAGCAUAAACUUGUCUAAGUAUAGACAUCUGAAAAGAGAGAAGGCUAGAAAGCAUGUCUAUCUACAAGACCCUCCAUAGGAACUAGACCUCUGUCUGGGAUUCACAAACUAAUUGUCGAAGCCCAAGAUUGAAGUCUCUCUGCAAAACAUAAAUUAAGAAAAAGUGACUACAAAUGUACCCAACAAGACUUACAUCAAAAGUAAAUACUUAUGCAUUAGGUGUCAACAAAGGGGUUGUGGAGUUUGACUGCAGCAAGCCAUCUUUGACUCUGUGGCUAUCCUGUAAUACGUCUACCAGCAUUGUCUUUGAGAUCGCACACGAAUCCACAUAUUUACCAUAUCAAUACACCACUAUGGAUCCUCUCCCGUCUCCCUACGAGAAUGCCAUCCAUAGCACUCACGCUUAUCUUGCGCAUUUUACAGUAUCCACUUCCAAUUAUCUAUGAACAAUGUAAGCUUUCCAAGUAGGCCAUAUUUGUGGACGCAACUAUUUGAAUAGAUCAUAUUACCCUGCAGGGGUGUACUUCUUCACACACGCUCUCGCCACUUACCAUCAUGUACACGUCAUUUAUCUCAGCACCUUCAAGCGGAAGCCCAGCGAGGGUGUCGGCCACGACCUGACUAACCACACAAGACUCUAGUCCAGGUUUAUCGCCUAUCCGAGGCUGAACCCGCAAAGGAAGUCCGGCCGAAGUUUCCAUCACGGUGCCAAACGAUGUGAGCAGGGUUCCCAAGCCCACCAUCCGGGUGCCGCUGUGCCUAGUCUAUCCGAAGCCCAUCUGUACCGGGUGCCACUUGGUAGACUACUAACACAACCUACAAACAACAGAAACUAGUUGCAACUCCUAGACAGAGAUCGAGGCGAUUAAUUAGUUGAGAGAGUCAAUUAAGGAUCCCAAUCUAUGGUAGUAACUGUCUUCGAUCACAAACAUGGAAACCAGUUCCUCAAGACGGUCCCAAUGAGACAACCCACCAUGUGUACUCCUACAUGGCCCCUCAUCGCUACCUUUACCAAAUCAUGUUCACACACUUAACUCUCAACAGUAGGACAUCUUCACCACAUUCCAAUUCAACCCAGAUGAAUCAGACCUGGCACGACUCUAAGCAUAGCAAGCACGACAAGCAAGCAUGAAUGAGUAGGCACAUCAUGGCUCAAAUAACUCCUACUCAUGCUAGUGGGUUUCAACUAUUUACUGUGGCAAAGACAGGUCAUGCAGAGGAAUGGGUUCAACUACCGCAACAUGUAACAGUUGAAUCGUUGUUGUCCUAAUGCAGUAAAAGAGAGCAGGAGCGAGAGAGUGGGAUUGUAUCGGAGUGAUCAAGGGGGUUUUGCUUGCCUGGCACUUCUGAAGAUGAUAGAGCUCUUCAUCGGUGUAAUCGAUCACAUCAUCGGAACAACAUCUACUGAGAGGGGACAAACACAGGCAAACAAGAGGGAACAUGUAACAUCCCAAAUUUUCAAUUUGGAAUGUUAUACAUUAGAUCGUCAUUGCAUAUCAUAUUUUAUUGCAUUUAGGCAUGAUCCUAGAAAUUCUACGCAACUCAAGGACCCACGGAGAGAGUUGGGGAUUUUGUUGUUUUUCAUAUUUGAGUUUUUCUCAAAUUUAGAAAGAAAAAAAGGAUCAUUUGAUUUUAAUUAUUUUAUCUUCGAAUAUUUCUAUUAUAAAAAUAAGAGAGAGGAAAUAAAAUGACUUUCCCAAAAUAAAGAAAUAUUGGGGAUUUAAUAAUAAAAUCAAAUAAGAUUUUAUUUCGGAGUUUUAUCGCUAUUUUAUUUGAAUUAGGAAAAAUACGCGUUUUUCAAAAUUGCAUUUUAGGCCCAAAUAAAUGUUCAACUUGUCCGGAUUAUUUUUAGAGGACGGGGAAAAUUUAUUUCGGGAUUUUUCGAGUCCGUUGAGUAUUUCUUUUCUUUCUUUUUUGCACGUUAUAAUUAUUUAAAAAAAAGGAAACCGACCUCGGGUCGUACCCGAGUGGGACUCCGCCCGGGGGGCUUUAUAAGACAACACCCCGGCUCCCGAAGCCCACCCGUCCAGCCCAACCCGCCGCCGCUACCGGAACCCUAGCCGCCGCCCGCGUCGCCCGCCGCCGCCGCUGCCGCCGCCCGAGCCGCCGAUUGCGGCCGCUGCCCGCNNNNNNNNNNNNNNNNNNNNNNNNNNNNNNNNNNNNNNNNNNNNNNNNNNNNNNNNNNNNNNNNNNNNNNNNNNNNNNNNNNNNNNNNNNNNNNNNNNNNNNNNNNNNNNNNNNNNNNNNNNNNNNNNNNNNNNNNNNNNNNNNNNNNNNNNNNNNNNNNNNNNNNNNNNNNNNNNNNNNNNNNNNNNNNNNNNNNNNNNNNNNNNNNNNNNNNNNNNNNNNNNNNNNNNNNNNNNNNNNNNNNNNNNNNNNNNNNNNNNNNNNNNNNNNNNNNNNNNNNNNNNNNNNNNNNNNNNNNNNNNNNNNNNNNNNNNNNNNNNNNNNNNNNNNNNNNNNNNNNNNNNNNNNNNNNNNNNNNNNNNNNNNNNNNNNNNNNNNNNNNNNNNNNNNNNNNNNNNNNNNNNNNNNNNNNNNNNNNNNNNNNNNNNNNNNNNNNNNNNNNNNNNNNNNNNNNNNNNNNNNNNNNNNNNNNNNNNNNNNNNNNNNNNNNNNNNNNNNNNNNCUCGCCGAAGAUCUCGCCGGACCCGAGGUAGCCACCGCCGGGUUUUUUUUUAAAAACCGUUCGGUUUUAAAAAAAACUAGAUCCCUUUUUUUAGAUCGGUUCGUCAGUUUUUCUCGGUUUAGUUAUUUAGCGGACGUUCAUCCAUACGUUCGUUUUAACGAACGGUUUUCAUCAUUUAGCUGCGGACAGUGAGCGUUCGUUCUUUAGCCUGUUCAUCAGUUUUUCUUUUCUCGGAUUAUUCGCGAUUAUUUCCGAUCGCGAUUUCUGAUCCAAUUUUCGUUCUAGUAUAACUUUUCGCUCGUUUAUCGAAAUCAGGCAAUUCAAGCGCCUAGAUAUUUGUCUCGAAACCCUCUUUCCAUUUAACCAACUCAAACAAGUUUUUACUACUGUAAAAUUUGACUUAGGUCCAGAUUAGUAAACGAAGCUUGUUUCUUUCGUCGUUUGAGUUUGGUUGCUUCUUUUGAUUUGAUUCUUUUUGCAAACCGGAGUUCUUAAGUUGAACUUUCUGGAAAGAUCUCUUAUUUGAGUUUUACCUAUGCAUUAGAUGAGUACUUAUUGUAUGCUUGUUUGUUUGCGAUAGAGUACCCGGAGUGCGCCGCUUGCUACUACAAGUCUCUAGGUUUCACGGAUCAUCGGCAAGGCAAGUAACACUUUGAUCAUACCUCUUUACUACCCAGUUUUAUUGCAUUAGAUCAAUCCUCAAACAAUUGCAUGGUUAGGAUCUGAUUAAUAUGUGGGUUUUGGGAAGUAGAUGAGGUAGUACCUGUUACCUGUUUUAUUAUCAAACCUUUGGGAGUUACUUCUACGUUUGCUUAUAUUGCUAUGCUAUGCUAGUAGACGCCGAUUGGGUGAGUGUAUCCAUGACAGAUGUGAGAUUGUUAAUUAAUGGUUUACUUGUGGCAACUUUAAUACACAUCUGGGUGGAUUGAGACACCUGAGGAACCCAGUGUUGCCUGUAUUUUUGGAAAUCCCGGGGUACAGUGUGAUUCUCCUAUGGACCGCCACCCAGGCUCAAAGGGAUCAUGAGAUUAUUCAUGCUAGAAACUUCCGUGUGCAGCCGCAAGCUACUAUGGGCUCUAGCAUAGUUGAGUAUGUUGUGUGACCUCUUUUAGUGGUAGACUAGAUAAUGUAGGGGAUGUAGGUUGGUACAAUCUACCCAGAGUAAAUAGUUAAUGCUUCUGAAAGACUGUGUCUCGGUCAUCCGUUUCUCAAACACCAUGUAGUGCGAGAAAUCCAACGGAGCAGAUCGAGUCUUGCAGGGAAAAGUGCGCAAACCUUUGCAUAGUGUAUAAACUAAUCAUGGUUAGCCGUGUCCCCAGUUAUGGACGUUUUGAGUAUCUAGUACUUGGAGUAUCAUGUGAAUCUCAUCAUGUUACUUAAUUUAAUUUCAUUGGGUUAAUGAUGAUCCUUAAUUGGGAUUGAGUUGGAGGAACCUUCUCACUGUUUAACAACCACCAUGAUAGUUAAAUAAAAUGUAUUCCUUUGUUGUAGGGAAAAAUUGGCUUUAAGCAAAACUGUAACCAUAGAGCUUUCCACCAGCCAUAUAUGCAUGUAGUGAUAGCAUUAUUCUGUUCAUUACUCUCUAUGUGUUACAUUUCCAGCAUAUUCCGUGUGCUGACACACUUCGGGCUGCAACGUUCAUGUUGCAGACUUUUCAGACGACGAGUAAGGUGCCUUAGGUCGUGAUCUUUCACUCAGUGAUGCCGUUGGAGUGAUGGACUCACUUUAUCUUCCAAGACUUCCGCUGUUAUCGUAUUUAGAUGGCCUUAAGCCAUAUUUAUUGUAAUAAGUUCUCUUUUGAGACAUUCGAUGUAAUAAGUGUGUGAUUGCUACUCUGUUAUAAACCCUUCAAGUACUGUGCGUGUCAGCAUUACCGAUCCAGGGAUGACACUGAUGCACAAAGAUCAGACUGUUUGAGGUCUGGUUGCUACAAGAUGGUAUCAGAGCACACACUGACUGUAGGACACGACCACUAAGCUAAAGCCCUAGAUCACUACUCUCUUCUCAUUUCUGACUCCUCACCUUUUCUACUCUUUAGGAUGGCGGAUGCAAGGAACAAGUUCACGCAACCAGAUGAAGAUACACCCUUUGGACGCCACUUGAAGGAAGUCACUAGAUAUCUGAACAUCGGAUUUCAAGUUCCAGUAAGGAUGUUCAUGCCCGUCACUGAGCCCAUAGAGUUUUCCUUUGAUGCACCAACCUGGAGUCUAGGAAAGAGCAUGGCAGCACACAUCACCAUGGGACGCAUUGGAGAAGUUUACCACAAGGAUCUUAAGGAUACUAUUUACCAAAUUUGUGGGCGCCAAGAUGAUCAAUGGGAGAUGAUCAGCACCAGGAAGGAUAGAUCCAUUGCAGCUUUCAUCCAGGAGUUAAACCAGCACAUUCGCCGCCAGGAGAACCAGAUGUGCGCAGGCAUGAUAGAUCUGAAGAAGGCAAUGACCAAGAUCACGGAGCUAGAGGAAGAACUCAAGUCUACAUGCGAUGGAUAUGAGGAGGAAAUGACAACACCCGUGGAGAAGAAAGAUGAUCUGAAGAAGAAGCUAAAAGUAUUCAUGGGAUUCCCCGCGCCAAGAGGAGAUGAUGAUGAUUGCACUUGCCUGGAGAACUACAUCAUCAUCGACGACACCGACUCGGACCCUGACGAUAGCGAUGAUGAAUUUGUUGAUGAAGCUGGAGCAGAUAUCAUGGAGUCUUCGACCGAUCAAUUUUUCUAGAUGACCACCAUAAUAGUAGUAGUAUUUCCCCCAUGUAUAUAGUAUAGUCCGAGCACUUUUGUAACGAUAGCUAGACCGUUGUAUGCCCUUGUUUGAUUGAUUGAAGUGAUAUGAUUGUGUUUGUCUCAUGUGCAUAUGGGUAGUGUUUUUCUCUCCAGACCUCACUCUAUUCUGUAUUCUCAUCUUUUCUCAACCCUCAGAUGCCUCCGAGACGUGACAAUGGAUUUGCUUUCCCACCAGAGCUCACUCAGUUGAUCCAGCAGCAGAAUGCAUUGAUGCAGAUGCUAGUCUAGAAUCAGAAUUAGGGGAACAAGAACAACAACAACCCACCACCACCACCACAUGUUGAUCACUUAGCCCGUUUCUUGAGGUUGAAUCCGUCGGUGUUCUCCAGUAGCACCGAGCCGAUAGUUGCAGAUGAUUGGCUCCGCAAGAUGGGAAGGGGUUUACCAUUGCAGGAUGCAUAGAUGCGGAGAAGGUGCAUUUUGUCGCACAUCAGCUUGAUGGACCCGCAGCAUCAUGGUGGGAGAAUUUCACAGCCAGUUAUCCCAUCGACACUGUCACAUGGGAACAGUUUCAGCAGGCUUUCUGUACUGUCCAUGAUUCAGCAAGAGCUAUGGCCAUGAAGAAGCGUGAGUUUCACAACUUGCGCCAAGGAGGACAUACUGUUGGCCAGUAUGUGGAUGAUUUUAGUAAGCUAGCACGUUAUGCCCCAGAUGACGUUGCUAUGGAUGCAGCUAAGCAGGAGAAGUUUCUGGAAGAACUAAAUGAUGAGCUGAGCAUGCAGUUGAUGGUGGCAACCUUCAACAACUACCAGGAGUUGGUAGACCAAGCUCUCUUGAUUGAAGGGAAGCAGCAACAGAUUGACAGCCGCAAGAGGAAGUAUGGACAAGGGAAGUACAAUUCUGGAGCUCAGCAGAAGCCUCGUUUUACCCCGAACUCGGGAGGACCUUUUCAGCAUACCCAUGGAGGUCACACUCACAAUGGAGGGAGUUCACACAACCAUAGUGGCACCAAGAAUGGUAAUGGGAAUGGAGGAAGCAACGGACAAAACCGUACCAACCCAUCAACACCACCCAAGAGGGAUCUAAGCCACAUUACCUAUUUCAAGUGCCAGAAGACUGGACAUUAUGCCACUGAAUGUCCUGAAGCUAAGAAUGAAAAUGGCAAUGGAAGAUCUGGGAAGAAGCCUAACCCUUUCAACAGGGGACAAGUGAACCACGUUAACGUGGAGGAGGUUGAAGCCCAGCCAGAUGCAGUAAUAGGUAAGUUUUUGGUUAAGUCAUUUACUGCAAUCGUUCUUUUUGAUACUGGUGCAUCGCAUUCAUACAUAUCAAGGGGAUUUGUGGAUAAGUAUAAACUACCAACCCAAGCCCUUAGGUCACCCAUGCUAGUAACCUCGCUAGGAGCAGAGUAUAUGGCUAGUCUAUGGUGUGAUCGGUUACCAUUAAGGAUUGGUAACUAUGUGUUCCCCUCAGACCUAAUAGUAUUGGAGUCACAAGGACUGGAUGUGAUAUUAGGCAUGGAUUGCUUAUCCAAGUAUGGAGGGAACAUUGAAUGCGCUAGUAAGUCGAUUUUGCUUACCACCCCAGAAGGAAGAAGGAUCAAGUAUGUAUGUCGGCAUGUACCGAAGAGGACUCAAGUAAAUUCCUUAUCAGGAGUUGUACAGGAAGAAGUACCAGUGGUUAAGGAUUUCCCUAACAUUUUUCCAGAAGAGUUGCUAGGCAUGCCACCAGAUAGAGACAUUGAGUUUUUGAUUGACCUUUGCCAGGCACAGGGCCGAUAUCUAAGAGACCAUACAGGAUGCCCGCAAAGGAUUUGGAGGAAAUUAAGAAGCAGAUUAAGGAGUUACUAGAUAAAGGCUAUAUUCGCCCAAGUUCGUCACCUUGGGGUUCACCAGUGCUUCUAGUGGAGAAGAAGGACAGGUCAUUGAGGAUGGUUGUUGAUUAUCGAGGAUUGAAUGAAGUGACGAUGAAGAAUAAGUACCCACUGACGAUGAUCAAUGAUCUGUUUGACCAGUUACAAGGAGCUAAGGUAUUUUCCAAGAUCGAUCUACGAUCUGGAUACCACCAGUUGAAGAUUUGAGAGUAGGAUAUACCUAAGACGGCUUUUACCACCAGGUACGGGCUGUAUUAGUAUACCAUUAUGUCAUUUGGUCUGACUAACGCACCUGCCUAUUCCAUGAACAUGAUGAACAAGGUGUUUAUGGAGUUUCUGGUUAAGUUUGUCGUGGUGUUCAUUGAUGAUAUUUUGGUCUACUCAAAGAAUGAAGAGGAGCAUAAGGAGCAUUUGCGUUUGGUACUUGGGAAGCUCAGAGAACAUCAGCUAUAUGCCAAGUUCAGCAAGUGUGAGUUUUGGUUGAAGGAACUUGGAUUCCUUGGACAUGUUAUAUCCGGAGAAGGAAUAGCAGUAGACCCCACCAAAGUUGUCACUGUGACAAAUUGGGAAGCACCCACGUCAGUUGGAGAGAUCUGGAGUUUUCUUGGACUCACAGGAUACUAUCGGAGGUUCAUUGAGAAUUUCUCGAAGAUUGCAAAACCCAUGACAGAUUUGUUGAAGGACACCAAGUUCAAAUGGACUGAGGAAUGUGAGGCCAGUUUUCAGGAGUUGAAGAAACGUUUGGUUACAUCAUCGGUGUUGAUUCUGCCAAAUCAGCGCAAGGAUUAUGAAGUAUAUUGCGACGCUUCUCGUCGAGGACUUGGAGCAGUGCUUAUGCAGGAGGGAAGAGUUGUUUCGUAUGCCUCACGACAGCUUAAGCCCCAUGAGUUGAAUUAUGCCACACAUGAUUUGGAGUUAGCAGCCGUAGUGCAUGCGUUGAAGACAUGGAGACAUUUUCUUAUCGGAAACCAUUGCGAGGUGUAUACGGAUCACAAGAGAUUGAAGUACAUCUUCACGCAGAAGGAGUUGAAUCUCAGGCAAAGGAGAUGCUUGGAGCUCAUUAAGGAUUAUGAUAUGAGAUUGCAUUAUCACCCCGGAAAGGCUAACGUAGUAGCCGAUGCGUUGAGCCGCAAGAGCCAUGUCAACACUCUCAUGACCGGAGAGUUACCAAAGGAACUAGCCGAGGAUCUUCGCGAGCUAUGUUUGGAGAUAGUUCCGAGAGGUUAUGUAGCAGCAUUGGAGAUUCAGUCUACUUUGAUGGAUAAGAUCAGAGAAGCUCAGAAGACAGACAAGGAGAAUUCCGAGAUAAAUGAGAAGAUAGGCAAAUAAAAAGCUAAGGCAUUUCGUAAGGAUGAGCACGAUACCUUAUGGUUUGAGGACCGCGUUUAUGUGCCUAAUGACCCAGAGAUCUGGAAGUUGAUUCUACAGGAGGCCCAUGAUUCACCAUAUUCGAUUCACCUAGGAAAUACUAAGAUGUAUCUAGAUUUGAAGGACACUUUCUGGUGGACCGGAAUGAAUAAGGAUAUUGCGGAGUAUGUAGCAGUUUGUGAUGUAUGUCAGAGAGUGAAGGCAGAGCAUCAGAAGCCAAUAGGAUUGCUACAGCCAUUGCUGAUACCCGAAUGGAAGUGGGAUAAGCUAGGCAUGGAUUUUAUCACGGGAUUGCCAGGACACGUUCAGGCUAUGACUCGAUAUGGGUUGUAGUCGAUCGAUUGACGAAGGUAGCUCAUUUCAUCCCAGUGAAGACCACUUACACAAGUGCUAAGUUGGCAAAGAUAUAAAUGACCAGGAUCGUAUGUCUGCAUGGAGUUCCGAGGACCAUUGUAUCAGAUAGAGGAACCCAGUUUACCUCAAAGUUCUGGAAUCAGUUGCACGAAACUUUGGGUACCAGGCUAGAGUUCAGUACAACCUUUCAUCCACAGACAGAUGGACAGACCAAGAGAGUCAAUCAGAUUCUGGAGGACAUGCUAAGAGCUUUUGCACUAGAUUAUGGAUCUAGUUGGGACGACAAUUUGCCAUAUGCAAAGUUCUCUUACAACAACAGUUACCAAUCCAGUUUGAAGAUGGCCCCUUUCGAAGCCUUGUAUGGAAGGAGGUGCAGGACAUCGUUGUUGUGGGAUGAAGUUGGAGACCGUCAGUUGUUUGGACCAGAUUUGAUUAAAAAGUCUGAAAAGAAGGUUAAGCUAAUUCGCGAUAGGCUCAAGGUAGCCCAGUCCAGCCAGACGAGCUAUGCAGAUUUAAAUGCAAGGAGACAGUUUAUGAAGUCGGAGAAAGAGUUUAUCUUCGUGUGUCCCCACUUCGAGGAGUUAAGCGUUUUGGAGUUAAGGGGAAGUUAGAACCAUGUUUUGUGGGACCAUACAAAGUUUUGGAGCGUAUGGGAUAAGUUGCCUACAAGUUGGAAUUCCCCGAAGGAUUGUCAGGAGUUCAUGAUGUGUUCCAUGUUUCCCAGUUGAAGAAGUUCCACACAGAGAUGGAUGAUGUACCCUAAGAGAUACAGUGUCACCGGAAGCGAUUCAGUUGGAUAGCGAUUUGACCUAUGAGGAGAAACCAGUGAAGAUUCUCGAGUUUGCUAGCCGAGUCACACGCAGCAAGGUUAUCAAGUUUUGCAAAGUUCAGUGGAGCCACCAUACCGAAGAUGAAGCCACCUGGGAGCGAGAGGAAGACCUACUGAAGGUCCACCGUCACCUAUUUUCUAGCCAACCCGAAUCUCGAGGGCGAGAUUCAUCUUAAGGGGGGUAGGUUUGUAACAUCCCAAAUUUUCAAUUUGGAAUGCUAUACAUUAGAUCAUCAUUGCAUAUCAUAUUUUAUUGCAUUUUGGCUUGAUCCUAGAAAUUCUACGCAACUCAAGGACCCACGGAAAGAGUUGGGGAUUUCGUUAUUUUUCAUAUUUGAGUUUUUCUCAAAUUUAGAAAAAAAAGAUCAUUUGAUUUUAAUUAUUUUAUCUUCGAAUAUUUCUAUUAUAAAAAUAAGAGAGAGGAAUAAAAUGACUUUCCCAAAAUAAAGAAAUAUUGGGGAUUUAAUAAUAAAAUCAAAUAAGAUUGUAUUUCAGGGUUUUAUUGCUAUUUUAUUUGAAUUAGGAAAAAUAUGCGUUUUUCAAAAUUGCAGUUUAGGCCCAAAUAAAUGUUCAUCUUGUCUGGCUUAUCUUUAAAGGACGGGGAAAUUUUAUUUCGGGAUUUUUGGAGUCCGUUUAGUAUUUCUUUUCUUCCUUUUUCUGCAUGCCAUAAUUAUUUAAAAGAAAUCGAAACCGACCUCGGGCCGUACCCGAGCGGGACUCCGCCCGGGGGGCUUUAUAAGCCACCACCCCGGUGCCCGAAGCCCACCCCGCCAGCCCAACCCACCGCCGCCGCCGGAACCCUAGCCACCGCCCGCGCCGCCCGCCGCCGCCGCCGCCGCUGCUCGNNNNNNNNNNNNNNNNNNNNNNNNNNNNNNNNNNNNNNNNNNNNNNNNNNNNNNNNNNNNNNNNNNNNNNNNNNNNNNNNNNNNNNNNNNNNNNNNNNNNNNNNNNNNNNNNNNNNNNNNNNNNNNNNNNNNNNNNNNNNNNNNNNNNNNNNNNNNNNNNNNNNNNNNNNNNNNNNNNNNNNNNNNNNNNNNNNNNNNNNNNNNNNNNNNNNNNNNNNNNNNNNNNNNNNNNNNNNNNNNNNNNNNNNNNNNNNNNNNNNNNNNNNNNNNNNNNNNNNNNNNNNNNNNNNNNNNNNNNNNNNNNNNNNNNNNNNNNNNNNNNNNNNNNNNNNNNNNNNNNNNNNNNNNNNNNNNNNNNNNNNNNNNNNNNNNNNNNNNNNNNNNNNNNNNAUCGUUCGGUUUUUUAAAAAAAACUAGAUCCAUUUUUUUAGAUCGGUUCAUCGAUUUUUCUCGGUUUAGUUAUUUAGCGGACGUUCAUCUGUACAUUCGUUUUAACGAACGGUUUUCUUCGUUUAGCCGCAGACAGCGAACGCUCGUUCAUUAGCAGGUUCGUCAGUUUUCCUUUUCUCGGAUUAUUAGCGAUUAUUUCCGAUCGCGAUUUCUGAUCCGAUUUUCGUUCUAGUAUAACUUUUCGCUCGUUUAUCGGAAUCAGGAGAUUCAACCGCCUAGAUUUUUGUCUCGAAACCCUCUUUCCACUUAACCAACUCAAACAAGUUUUUACUACUGUAAAAUUUGACUUAGGUCCAGAUUAGUAAACGGAGCUUGUUUCUUUCGCCAUUUGAGUUUUGUUGCUUUUUUUAUUUGAUUCUUUUUGCAAACCGGAGUUCUUAAGUUGAACUUUCUGGUUAGACCUCUUAUUUGAGUUUUACCCAUGCAUUAGAUGAGUUCUUAUUGUAUGCUUGUUUGUUUGCGAUAGAGUAUCCGAAGUGCGCCGCUUGCUACUACGAGUCUCUAGGUUUCACGGAUCAUCAGCAAGGCAAGUAACACUUUGAUCAUACCUCUUUACUACCCAGUUUUAUUGCAUUAGAUCAAUACUCAAACAAUUGCAUGGUUAGGAUCUGAUUAGUAUGUGGGUUUUGGGAAGUAGAUUAUGUAGUACCUAUUACCUGUUUUAUUAUCAAACCUUUGGGAGUUACUUCUAUGUUAGCUUAUAUUGCUAUGCUAUGCUAGUAGACGUGGAUUGGGUGAGUGUAUCCAUGACAAAUGUGAGAUUGUUAAUUAAUGGUUUACUUAAGGUGGCAACUUUAAUACACAUCUGGGUGGAUUGAGGCACCUGAGGAACCCAGUGUUGCCUGUAUUUUUGGAAAUCCCGGGGUACCGUGUGAUUCUCCUAUGGACCGCCACCCAGGCUCAAAGGGAUCAUGAGAUUAUUCAUGCUAGAAACUUCCGUGUGCAGCCACAAGCUACUAUGGGCUCUAGCAUAGUUGAGUAUGUUGGGUGACCUCUUUCAGUGGUAGACUAGCAGAUGUAGGGGAUGUAGGUUGGUACUGUCUACCCAGAGUAAAGAGUUAAUCCUUCUGAAAGACUAUGUCUCAGUCAUCCGUUUCUCAAACACCAUGUAGUGCGAGAAAUCCAACGGAGGAGAUCGAGUCUUGCGGGGAAAAGUGCGCAAACCUCUGCAGAGUGUAUAAACUAAUCAUGGUUAGCCAUGUCCCUGGUUAUGGACGUUUUGAGUAUCUAGUACUUGGAGUAUCAUGUGAAUCUCAUCAUGUUACUUAAUUUAAUUUGACUGGGUUAAUGAUGAUGCUUAAUUGGGAUUGAGUUGGAGGAACCUUCUCACUGUUUAACAACCACCAUGAUAGUUAAAUAAAAUUUAUUCCUUUGUUGUAGGGAAAAAUUGGCUUUAAGCAAAACUGUAACCAUAGAGCUUUCCACCAACCAUAUAUGCAUGUAGUGAUAGCAUUAUUCUGUCCAUUACACUCUAUGUGUUACAUUGCCAGCAUAUUCCAUGUGCUGACCCGUUUCGGGCUGCAACAUUCAUGUUGCAGACUUUUCAGAUGACGAGUAAGGUGCCUUAGGUCGUGAUCUUUACUCAGUGAUGCCAUUGGAGUGAUGGACUCACUUUAUCUUCCAAGCCUUCCGUUGUUAUCGUAUUUAGCUGGCCUUAAGCCAUAUUUAUUGUAAUAAGUUCUCUUUUGAGACAUUCGAUGUAAUAAGUGUGUGAUUGCUACUCUGUUAUAAAUGCUUCAAGUACUGUGUGUGUCAGCAUUACCGAUCCAGGGAUGACACUGAUGCACAGAGAUCAGACUAUUUGAGGUUUGGUCGCUACAGAACAUAAUCAAUGCAAUGCAACAAUAUGAGGCAUGAUCAUGACAUGGCAAUAUGCUGUGAUUUGAGCUAAUGCAACUAAUAGCAAGGUUGAAUGAAGCUCAUUUGAACCUUGGUUCAAAUACAAAGUUCAUUUAAAGCAUUUAAAAAUGUCAUUUAAGGAGUUUUAUAGUUCAAUGAGUAUAAGUCGUUCAAGCAUGUAUGAAAAUGUCAUAAACAAAUUCUUUGGUUUUUCUGAUAAUUUUUCAUAUAUAAUCUAUUUCAUUUUGAUCUACGGUUGAAUUUCUAUGAUUUUUCAAAGUUUAGUCAAAUUUCUGGAAUAAAUAAAUCAUUUGUGAUUUAUUUAAAUCUGUAGAAAACAAUUACUACAUCGGCAUUGUGCAUGGAUGACAUCAGCAGGUCAAAUGGGCAUCCAGGUUAAACCUGACCAGUGGGGGCCACUGGUCAGUGACUCGACUAAUUAACAGAGUUAAUUAGUGUUUGAUUAACCCUAACUAUAGUGUCAAUGGACCUGGGCCCACAUGUCAGCGUGUCAGCUGGUUAGUUAAAAUCUUAAUCGAGGUUAGCAGGGCCCUGGGCCCACCUGCUAGUGACCCUAGGAAGGUCAUUAGGCGGGCUAACUGGCGUUUAGGCCGGAUCUAAGCCGCCGGCAAAGCCAGACACGGCUGAGGUUGUCGGAAAACCUCCUCCGGCGAUCGUUUGAGCGGCGGAGAGGCUCUACAUGAAGUCGGGCUCUCGCGCAUACAAUGAUGCAAGCAGUAGAAGCUGGGGUAGUAUAGGUCAACGGCGAUGACGACUUGUGCGAUGGCCGGAGCUCGGGCGUCAACGUAGUCAUCGCUAGGGUGGACAGCGAGACUAGGUGGGCACGCGGUUGGGUUUCUGGGUGCUCCAGGAGUUCAGCGGCGAGCUGGGACAUGUGUUGCGGUAACCGUUGCUGCGACGGCGACAUGGACGGCAAAGCCAAGCUCUCGGGCUAGGGGAAAACGACGGUCAAAGGGGGAAAUCGAGCACGGGGAGAGAUGGGAAGGGGGAGGGGCUCACGGCGGUUCGAGAGGGGCAGACGGCGAGCUCGGGGAGGCGUUGGAGGGAGCGGGGCGGUGAAGGCGAUCUCGGUAUCUCGAGGAAGAAGACGGUGGCGGUGGCGGCAUUUAGUGGCUUCCGGCAUCGCGUGGCUAAGUGAGGAGGUCGAGGCCGUCGAGGCCGAACUCCUGGAAAUGAUGGGGUGGCCAGGCGAGCUUGGUGGGAACGGUGGUAGCGAGUGGCGGUGAUGGGCACGCUCAGGUGCAAGCAGAGGAGUGAGAGAGAGAGAGCCAGAGGAGGGGAGAGGUUGCGAGUGAGAGAGAGGAAGGACAGGGGUCUUUGGGUGUCUCCAGGCGCGAGGGAGAGGCAGGAGGUGCCAAGAAGGAGGUGGAUCCUACGGCGUGCGCGGGCGACACGCAAUAGUGCCUACUGGCAUGAGGAAGAAGACGGUCCAGCCCCUGGCGGGCUGGGCUGCUGCUACAGGAGCAGGCCAGGUAAGUGGUCAUGCGGGUUUCUUUCGGCUAUUAUUCUAUUUCUUCUAUUUGUUUGUUUUAUUUUAUUUUUCCACUAUUCAAAAUCAAAAAGAUUUUAAACUAGUGUUGAUAUUCCUAUGGAUAUUUUUAUGUGGUUCAUCGGAUAUUUCCAAAUGCACAUAAAAUGUUUCAGGGGUAUUUGAAACUAUAUUCUAGUUAUAUGAAUAUAAUUCAAAUUCAAAAAACAAUAUGAUUUAAAAUCAGUGCCCAAAAUUAUUCUUUAAAAAUGUUCAUUAUUUUUAGUUUGGAUCAAGACCAUUGCCAAAAAUAUCAAACAUCAAUGAAGAGCAUUUUGGCUUCAUUGAAUGCAAUUUUUAGGGUUCUUUGCCCCUCUUUUAAUUAAAUUUUCAAGGCUUUCAAAUUUCCUCAGUUCAACUUUUAGAAUUUUAGACAUGAUGCAUGGAUGUAAUGCCACUAAUUACAAGCAUUAUUCCAGGGCUGUGACAGGUAGCCUAUGAAGAUGCAUGCCAAUGAGCGAGGAGCCAGCUUAUGAGGCGUAGUGGAAGCAAUGCUAGGGUAGCAAAGACAGCCGAAGAUGUGUAACUCAUCUUAAGUCAGUGGCGUGCCGAACAGAAAAUGAUGAGGUGCAAAAUUCCAGCGAGUCCGACAAGGGCGAAUGUUAAGAAGAAGUGGUGCGGUGGCGAGCGCGUCCGGCCAAAAACAUGGGGUCACGUUGGCGUGAAAGAGAAAGCGUGUGAACAUAGUCAUUAAGAGUGCAGAGGACGCGCUCGGCACGCCCAUUUUGUUGUGUGGUAUACGGGCAAGUGAGACGAAAUGUCAUGCCGUGUGUGGUAAGAAGGUUGCGGAUAGCAAGAUUAUCGAACUCCUUCCCGUUGUCUAUUUGCAACGCAUGGAUGGGACGUCCAAACCGCGUGAAGACAUAAGAGUAAAAGGCGGUGAGAGUGGAGAUAGCAUCCGACUUUCACCGCAACAGGAAGGUCCACACAUAGUGCGAAAAAUCAUCAAGGAUAACAAGAUAGUAAAGAUAGCCCGUAUUACUUGCAAAUGGAGAAGUCCAAACAUCACUAUGAAUUAACUCAAGCGGGUAUGAUGCGUCAUGCAAUGAAGUGCUAAAUGGAUGACGAACAUGUUUGCCAAAACAACAAGCAUGACAAGUGUGAUCAUCGAUCUUAUUACACAUGAAAGAAAAACUCUGAAGAAUAUGAUGAAGGGUGGCGGGGUUGGGAUGUCCUAAGUGAGCAUGCCAGAGGUCCACCCCGGUGGAGAGCGCCAUGGGUGUGGCGGCGGUGGAGGCGGACGAGUGGAUCGGGUAGAGCUUGUCGGGGCUAUCACAUCGGUGGAGCACCAUCAGGGUACGGGCAUCCUUAAUAGAAAAGCCAAACAUGUCAAAUUCGACGAUGAUGGGAUUUUCACGUGUAAAACAAUGAACGGAAACAAGAUUUUUAAUAAAGUCAGGAUAGACAAGUAUGUUAGAUAAUGAUAAUGACAUGGAAUUGGAAGGAAAAGCGGCAUGACCAAUAUGUGUAAUGGGAAGGGAUGAACAGUCACCCAUGGUGAUACAAGUGGAGGUAUGACGGUGGGCGGUGAGGAGGUUACCGGGGUUGGAAGCCAUGUGAGCCAGUGUCCAUGUAUCAGUCACCGCCUCCAGUGUAGUUUUAUGGCAUAGGAGCGGAGUGCAGUGCUGCUAGUAAAGCAGGAUCCUAGGGCGCUGGAGGGAGCGCCGGUGCCGACAGUUGCGGUUGCAGUGGGGGCACCGAGAGCAGCGAAGGGAGGCCGUUAACCUGAGGCAACGACCCAUAGGGCGCCGGAUAGCCAGAGGGCAGCGGGGGAGCAUGCCGCGCCUAGUGACUCGCCGGACGAGCGCCGAAGUUGCCAGGGACGGUGGCGCGUGGGACCGGCAUAGAAUACGCAUGAACAACUCCUGUCCAAGGGUUCUGCCCAGCGUACCAUGGCGCCGGCUAGUACUGUUGUUGCUGGCAGGGCACCCCUCCCUGGGUGCCCGCCGGCUCCUUGCGGCCGCGGCGGCCACCUCGGCGGUGAUCGGGGGUGCUACUGGACCGGCGGGGGCGGGAGGGGGAAGCCCGGCGGUGGUGGCGGCUGCGGGAAAGUGCCCGGGACAGGCCGCGGCAGAGGGACCUGCGCGGGUGGGGCACCACGGUGAAAUGUUCCUGUUAGUGUCAAAAUCGGCAGAUCUCGGGUAGGGGGGGUGCAAGCUGUGCGUCUGAAGAUCAAUGGUAACAAUGGAGAAGGGACAUAGUGUUUAUCUAGGUUCGGGCCCUCUUAAUGGAGGUAAAACCCUACUCCUGCUAGAUUAUAUUCCAGGGUAUAGGGGUUACAAGAGUUGAUCUACCACGAGAUCGAUUCGGCUAACCCUAGUUAGCUAGCCUAGCAAUGUUAUGAUCCUGCCUCCGCUCUAACCCUCCGGUUUAUAUAGACACCGGAGGGGCUUAGGGUUUGUACAAAGUUGGUUUUACAAAAAGGAACAAUAUGUCCGGACACAUAUACUUGCCAUCCAUGCAUGUGAGAGUCCCCACCAGAUACGGGAGAGGAUCUUCGGUCUUGUAUCUUGACGGCCCAUUAGUCUGGCCCACACCAGUAGACCGGACACCCGAGGACCCCCUAAUCCAGGACUCCCGCAGUAGCCCCUGAACUAGUCUUCAAUGAUCAUAUGUCCGGCGCUCAGAUUGUCUUCGGCAUUGCAAGGCGGGUUCCUCAAAGAAUACACAUCGGCUUUCCUCUGUAAAAAGAAUUGAAUCCAGCUUUUCACAAUAAACACAAACCUUAGCCACGAAGGCAGGAUAUACAAAAAAAUGAGAACAGUGUCUCAUACUGACAGCUUUUCCAGCGAAGCGUUGGACUUGACCUUUCAUUUUUCAAACCAUUUUCGCACCCCGUGUUCCGUGUUUCGAGGUCACGCCUCAUUGGUACGGCCCAUCAAAACAGAGAUCAUGCCCACUUAAUACGGGAUUGCAUAUCAAUGAUAUCUGGGUAAUCCAACCGACUACAGCGCAUACCCGCAUCGGGAACAGACGAGGUUUUAAGGCUAGGGAGGCGGGCGCUUGGUAUUCACGGCUUAUAUAAAUGGGUAAAGAUUCAUCUUUUCUAUCCCACGCCUUCUUCCUUCCUCUGCCUCCCUAUCUCCAAGCUGUAGCACCCGAGCCUCGAAACCUUCAACCGCCACCAGCCCUCCACUCAUGUCCGGAUCUGGCCUUCAAGGCAAGUGGGCAGCCUCCUCCGUGAGGGAGAACGACAUCAAGGAGCUCCAGGAUGCCGGGUACCUAAGUACAGACAUUGCGUACAGGAUCCCUGCCAAGAAGCAAGUCAUCCCCACCCCGGAGCCCGGCGAAAGGGUGGUAUUUAUCCCCCACUUCCUUCGCGGACUAGGAUUUCCGCUUCAUCCUUUUGUCCGUGGCCUCAUGUUCUAUUACGGGCUUGAUUUCCAUGAUCUAGCCCCAAACUCAUUCCUCCACAUCUUGGCGGUUAUCGUCGUGUGCGAGGCACUCCUCUACACCCCACCUCCACCCACCCCCCCUUCGGCCUCUGGCUCAAAGUCUUCAAUGUGAAGCCAAAGGUGGUGGACGGGGAGCACGCAAACUGCGGACGCACGAUGGUGAGAAAGCUUCCCAAUGUCACCUGGCCCAAAGGGGCUUUUGUGGAGAACGUGCAAAUAUGGCAGCAGGAGUGGUUCUACAUCAUCGAACCUUGCGGCGCCAACUGGGCGGCCACUCCUGAAUUUCGAUCCGGGCCCCCAAUGCGGCUAGCGUCAUGGAUCAACAAGGGCUUGGACUGGGGGCCGGCGGACGAGGUGACGAUGCUGCAAAAGCGCAUCAAAAACAUCAUAAAGAGGGACACUGACCUUACCGACGUGGUUCAGGUGAUGCUAUUCCACCGGAUCCUUCCCUGCCAGCACCGGCCUCUCCACGUGUGGGAGUUUAAUCCGGAAAGGUUGUGGACCCUGCAGCGAUUCUUCGGCAUGACGCACGAAGAUAUCUGGAGGCUGCUUUUCAAGGCCCAGAAACAGAAGUCGUGGCCGGAGACGACCGACAACAUCGGCCUCGACUACGCUCACCCGGCUACUCCGGUAAGUUUUUAGUUUAUGAACAUAACUCAGUCCGGAUAUCACAGGGAUGUAUUGAAACUCUCAUAUUUGAAACAGGGCUGGACGAAGAAGGCGGAGUGGAUCAAGUGUCCGGCUCCGCUGCCUGAAAGCUCCAUUGACCCUCUGCUGACGAGGAUGCUGGUUCCGUUGUCGUAUUAGGCGUCGGAGAAGAAGACCAAGAAAAAGGGCAAGGAGGCCAAAAAUGGCCCCUGCCAUAAUGGUCCCUCGGACACUAUGUCCGGGGAAUCGGAAGCCCUCUCCUCCCACGAGGGAGAUGAAGAUGAGAAGGAGGAGGAGGAAGAGAGCAACUCUCCUCCUAUGGGGAGGAGGAAGAAAAGGGCGGCUUCCAUAGACCCAGAGGCGGAAGUGUCCAAAAGGGGGAGAGUAUCCCUCACAGACGAUUUGGAUCCGGAUGCCGAAGUCAUCCCCGAGUACCGCCCCAGGUCGAAGCCCCUGGCCGAAUCGUAAGUUUCUCCAGAUGCCUUACAUACAUCGGCGUUUACAAUUAUAUUUUUAACAUGUUGUAUUGUGUGUUUCAGUCCGGCCCGUGACCUCCCUAAAAUAACAUCUCCGGGGAAUUCGCUGGGGCCGGGGAUGGUGGAGAGCGAGACGCAUCCGCGACCUCCCCGCCUACCGCUCCAGACGACACCAAAGUUGUGACCUAGAGGGCCUCCCCGGGUCAUGAAGAGGUGCAGGAGGUCAUCAGGACGGCGCCAGAGGGUAAUGCCUCGGCUGCCAAAGACAUGGGAGGGCCAACCCCCAUGGAGACCGAGGAUGGGGGCCAUGACCAAUCUGACCCCCAGCUGAACACUGUUCGGGAGAUCCGUACGACUCCGGAAUCAGGCAAGUGACCCCCUUUGACGGAGGGGGGCGUCGACUCCACCAGCGACCUCUAUAAAUCCGAAGACGCUGAAUAAUUUGGCAGAAGCGCUUCAUCGUUCUUCCGUCGUGGAGGAGCAUCGCACCUGAUGGGUGUGGUGGUUGAGAAGAUUCAGUCCACCAAAAGCGGGCUGAACGAAGCCUUUAUGAGCCUGCUAACAGGCUUUGAGGUAUGCGAUGUAAUUUUCUAACCUAUUUCAAUAAAGGGAUGUGCCUGUGUAUAGAUAGUAGCCCCUGAGACUCUGUCCGGCUUUGAAGAAGCCGGACAGAGGAUCACAUAGUGUUCGGAAAAGGUGACACUCUAUUGUAAAACAGGCUUCCCCGCUGGCGGCAAGCGCCCAGUCCGCCGAAGUUUCCGAACUCACUCGGAAGCUGCGGCUGGCUGAUGAAGAAGUGAUCCGCAUCAACAAGUGGUUGGAGGAGACGCAAGGUAUGUGUGCAUUGAGUAUAUAGCUCCAAUUGUACAUGAGUGGGUUGUCUGAAACAGACGAAGAAAUGUUUUAACUAUGCUCAUAGUUGGUGCCGAUGAGGUUGAGUCCCUCAAAAGCGCCCUUGUCAAAGCCCAGAAGGAGGCAGAGGCGAGCAAGGUGGCCGCGGACGAGGCGGCCAAAAGCUUAGAGGAGGAGAAGACCACCCGCUGACGCCAUGAGGCGCGGGUGGGUGAUAUUGAAAAGGAGCUCAAGGACGCCAUUGCUAGAUGUGAGUCCUUGGAGCAGACGAGCUCGGAACAGGCUUCCGAGCUCACCAAAGCCCGUGAGAGCCUGAAGGAAGCUCGGGCUGAUGCCCAGGACGCUCGCCAAGAGAUCUAGGAGGCGAGGCGUAUUGCGGCUGGUAAGGCCUUUAUUAUGUGGAGUAGGUAUGCCAGUACAAGAUAUAUUUUACUAACCCGAGUUCGGAGUUCUCCAGGCGCCUUUGCCAACCUGCCAAGGAGCAUUGUGGACGCCGCCGCAUUCUCUCGAGUCGAAGAGGGGAGCUCCACAGAAAUGCUAUUCUGGUCGCAGUACCUUGCACCGGAGCUUCCAGUGCCCCUGUCCGACCAGAUGAAGCAACUAUCUGAACUGCAUAGGGUGGUCGUCCUGGCCAUGAAGGAUGUAAUAGCCCGUCUGUGGCCAGCCGAAGUCGUACCUAGCAGCCACUUUGGGCUUGUGAAGAGGCCGGUGGAGGCGUUACCUCGGAUUGAUGCCCUCAAGUAGUCAUCCUGCAUUGAGGGUGCUCGGAUGGCCUUUGCCCGUGUGAAGAUCUAGUGGGCGAAGAUGAGAGCCACCAAGGUUGCCACCGCAGGGCCACCUGUGGGCAAGGAGCACCGGCAGCCGGAGAUCUACUUCGACGAGGUCCUUGAGGGAGACCGUACUGUAGAAGGCCAGUGCUCUAAGGACAUAAUAUUCGAGUAGUUGUGUCCGGUUGUAAGAGUCAUGUAACGAACUCAUGGUAUAUAUUAUUUAUGAUUAUGCAUUUUAUGAGUAGUUUAUCCUCCUAUUUUGGUCGUUUAUAUAUCUGAAAGUCUACCAUUCGUCGGCUUCAGCCCCCAUGUAAAUAUUACGGGGGUGUUCGUGAUUGUAUGACCGCAUAUAAUCCAACAUCUUGGUCCAAUGUAGGAGGCGUCUUGCGAAGUGAACUAGGCAAUCAGACUAUGCAGCUUUAGUACUUUCACUUAACCAUAAGAGUCCAUUAGUGGCGCUAAGCACUAGCCCCUUGUUGCUUUAUCGGCUAGCCAGAGUAUGGUGCCCUGGCAACGCAGCUUGGUCAAAAACCCAGCCCUUCGUAUGACAUGGCAUAAAUCGCGAGUGAUUUGUAGUAUAACACUAAGUCACCGGAUCGCUGACCCGCUCUCGCUUAUCAUGACAGUCAGUUUUCGGCUUUCUCUACGGAGGUACUUGACCGGACGAACCGGAAGUACAAUCGUAGUAGUUCUCCCUUUACUACAUUAGAUGAACUUGUAGAACAUAAGGUGGUAGACACAGGAGCCGGGCAACCCAACUAUAGACCAAAGACAUGAUUCGGAGCAGAUGCAUAUAGUGCAAUAUCCAGGACGCCGAAUAGUUCCCUAUGGGUGUUCGGUCUUAAGAAUUGAGUGGGGCUGAAUACAGCCCCUGGUAUGAAGAUCGUGUCGAACCAUGUGUGUCAGUCGAUCAUAAGGAAUAGCACAGAUGACAAAGUAAAAAUCUAACACCCAACCAAGAAGGUGGUAGUCACCUGUGCCCUUUAUAUCUUUAUUGAUAUUGUGAUGACAGACAAUGUCGUUCAAUACUAAGGUCAUAUUACAUGCCCAAAAUAGAGAAAAUAUUACAUAAGGGGAAGUCUAACACAGGGCCUAAAAACCUCAGUUCAGAAAAGAAACUCCGGUGAUGCCCUACCGCACGUCUGCGCCUUUCCUCCUUAGUAGUGAGUCAUUUGAGAGGAUCGCUUGGUGGUUGGGACAUGCUAGCCUUAAAAGGAUUUCCUGUGACAACCAUCUUGUAAGUAGGGCUCUUGAUGAACCUGUGGUAAAAGGAAAAAGAUAUAUAUGGUCCUAUUAUGGUCAAGCCGUGUAACGGACUUGUUCUAUCGUGUGCCUCCAUCGCCGCCCAGGGUAUUUUUAGUGUGUAAUUAUGUAUGCGUGGUACGUAAGCCGCGACCUGAUGGGGCGGUUGGUGGAAGCCGAACUGCUAGUCAAGGUACAGAUCUGUUGACUUAUCAUUGUUAUGCAUGGACCGGACUCAUUUGGAUGUGUCGUUGGCUUUAUUGGCCAGCAAGUUGUUCGGCUUGAUGAGGCCAUUGUAAACUUUGGCUGCAAGGGCCGUGGUGUGCUCUUCAGUAUGGAGCGAGCGCUCCAUAUUACCAUUGACUGUAAUAACGCCACGAGGUCCGGGAAUUUUGAGCUUCAAGUAGGCAUAGUGCGGGACUGCGUUAAAGCGGGUGAAGGCAGUUCGUCCGAGCAGUGCAUGGUAGCCACUGCGGAAAGGAACGAUGUCGAAGAUUAACUCUUCGCUGCGAAAGUUAUUUGGGGAGCCGAAUACUACCUCCAGUGUGAUUGAGCCCGUGCAACAAGCCUCCACUCCUGGUAUCACACCUUUAAAGGUAGUGUUACUAAGCUUGAUUCGUGAUGGGUCAAUCCCAAUCUUGCGGACAGUAUCUUGAUAGAUCAAGUUGAGACUGCUUCCUCCAUCCAUAAGGACUCUAGUGAGGUGGUAUCCGUCGAUGAUUGGAUCAAGAACCAAGGCCGGCAAACUCCCAUGACGGAUACUAGUUGGGUGAUCCCUGCGAUCAAAGGUGAUCGGAUAGGCUGACCAUGGGUUAAACUUGGGGGCGACUGGCUCUACAGCAUAGACAUCCCGCAAUGCGCAUUUGCGCUCCUUUUUGGGGAUGUGAGUGACAUAUAUCAUGUUCACUGUCCUCACCUCGGGGGGAAACUGCUUCUGUCCCCCGGUGUUCAACUGACGGGGCUCAUCCUCGUCUUCGCUUGGAGGCCCUUUUCCCUUGUUUUCGGUAUUUAACUUACCGGCCUGUUUGAAGACCCAACAGUCCUUGUUGGUAUGAUUUGCAGGUUUAUCGGGUGUGCCAUGAAUCUGGCAGGGCCUCUCGAGGAUUUUGUCUAAGCUAGAUGGCCCAUCCUUGCUGCCUUUGAAAGGUUUCUUCCGCUGACCGGACUUAGGACCGCGGAAUCCGGCAUUGAUUGUCAUAUCAUCUGUGUUGUCGGUGUUGUUAUUCCGACGUUUGUUUUAAUUGUGGUGAGGUUUACCAUUGUCGUCCCGCACCUCAUAGGUGUCGGGGUCACCUGAGUUGUUGCUUCUACGAGCCAACCAGCUGUCUUCGCUCGCACAGAAGCGGGUCAUGAGUGAUGUUAAGUCUGCCAUGGUCUUCGGCUUUUCCUGCCCGAGGUGCCGGGCGAGCCAUUCAUCAUGGACGCUAUGCUUAAAAGCCGCUAAGGCUUCAGCGUUCGGACAAUCUACUAUCUGGUUCUUUUUAGUUAGGAACCGAUUACAAAGCUUGUGGGCUGACUCGCCUGGCUGCUGGAUUAUAUGACUCAAGUCGCCAGCAUCCGGAGGCCGGACAUAAGUGCCUUAGAAGUUAUCCCUAAAGGCGUCUUCCAAGUCUUCCCUAUUCCAAUGGAGUUUUCUGGGAGGUUGUUUAGCCAGUGCCAUGCUGGUCCCUUCAGCUUUAGAGGGAGAUAUUUGAUGGCGUGGACACAUCUCCUCGAGCUAUGUGAAUGUGGAGAAGAAAAUCCUCAAUCAAGACGGCUGAAUCCGUCGUACCAUCAUACGGUUCGAUGUUUACGGGUUUAAACCCUUCCGGAAACUGAUGGUGUCGGAUGUUGGGUUCCGGCAGACCCUUAAGGUUCGAACUCUGGGAUGCGCAUAAAGAUCUCUCCCCUACCGAUCUACGUCUGAUCGCCUCGUGGGAUCUAAGCCUAAAACGAUGAGCAACACAAGGGACACAAGAUUUAUACUGGUUCGGGCCACCGUUGUGGUGUAAUACCCUACUCCAGUGUGUGGUGUGGUGGAUUGCCUCGGGGGCUGAUGAUGAACAGUACAAGGGCAGAACAGCCUCGCGAGAGGUGUUCUUGAGCUGGUGCGAUGAACUGCUUGUGCGAGUUUGAUCGCCUCUCUCUCUCUCUCUCUCUCUCUGUCUUCCAAUAUCUGGAUCCGCCCCCUACUCUGUGGUGGCUAGCUCUAUUUAUAGAGGCCCUGGGCCUCUUCCCAAAUAUUGAGCGGGAAGGGCGCCAACAAUGGCCAUUUCAAAGGGGAACAUCUAGUACAAGUUAUCCUGACUAAAGUUGGUCUUCGGCUGCCAAAAGCACUGGCGAUGACGCCAUCUUGGGCUCCACGGUGACCUCCAUCCUGCCGUUCCGUUGGUCUUGGUCUCGUUACACUGAAAUGGCAACCUUUGCCUGAUGCCUUGGUACUCCGCGCAUGUGCUUGCCCCCUUUGCACCAAAGAGGAAACAAGGACACUACGCAGGCCGGCGACCGCCUGGCGCUUGCCUGGUCUUGAUCGACAUGGCUUGCGUCACGAGCACCUCGCGAGGUACCCUACCUUGAUCUCUCCGCCUCCUUGCGAGCCUGCCUGGCGAGGCCAUUCCUGAGGAAGCCUUGCAUCGUCCGCACCGUGAGGCUUGGCCCCUCGCGAGGGUCUUGAGUCUUGUACUGACGAAUAUGGGCCAUACUGGGCCACCACUCGAGCCACGCUGCAGGCCGCAGGCAAGCAAGUUUGGGGACCCCCGUUCCCAGAACGCCGACAGUAUCCCCCGGGCCCAAGGCACGCUCGGAAUUGGCUUAGCGGAGAAGCAAAGGGGCAAGAGCGGAGCGCCGCGGGCCCCAUCAGCCUGCGGCCUUGGGAGCCGUGUGGCGGUUGAUUGGACGUGGGCGUCUCUGCUUCCCACGCUGCCUCGGCAACCUCUCGACUUCACAAGUCCCUGCAUGCAGAAAUGGGUCAUGAUUACCUGUGAUCAUGGAGGCCGAUGGUUGGCUUCCUUCCGGCUAUAAAUGCAGGAGGGUGCAGGCCUCCGCUGUACAUCUCCCUCCUUGCUUCCUUCUUUCUCCCUAUCCCAGCUACUCGCCAUCUCCCAUGGCACCGCCGAAGAGGUUCUCGUCCGUAGAGAAGGGAAAGGCUCGUCGGGAAGGGCCUGACUCUCCCCCGACCAAGCGCGGCCGAGGUCGUCCACGCAAGCAUCCUGUGGCUCCCGUAGUGGCUUCCCGCGGUCGCGGAGGCGAUCCCCUGCACGGUGAUGGGCGCCAGGUUAUCAUGGGAAGGCGUGCCAUGACUGUGCGGCCUCCCAGGCCGUGCUUCCACUCGGCGGAGGUGCUGCCGAAGUUUGUCGUGUGGUCGGCGGACCCGACCAGCUAUGGGGACCCCGACUCAUAAGUCGUGAUCACCGAAUGCACGUGUACAAUGAUCCCAGAUAGCAAUGCUCACUGGACACAUAGAAGCUGAGUAACAAGAGUCUUACAUCCAUACAUACAGUCUUACACAAGUAGGACCAUUAUGGUCAAGUCUUGAGUGUAUCAUCGCAGCAGAAAUCUUCGUUGACAACUUGGACCCAUGCCAUCUGUCAUAACCCUACAGGCAUUCUGACUGGGAAACGUCCUAGCUCGCAUGCUCGUCACCAAAAUAUUCCUCAUCAUAUGUUGUUCUUUCAUGCCUGGCCAAUAAAAUAACCAGUGGCAAGCCAGUGAGUACUUUGAAUGUACUCGCAAGCAACCCAUGAUUUGGUUCAAAGUAACAAUGCAACUGUACAACAGGUAAGCAACCUAGCUUCAAGCUAGUUGAGAUGUCCUAUCGACUUGUGAGAUAUGCAUCAAUGAACAUGGGUAACCUUGAGAACAGGUUACAGAUAUCAACAUAAAUAGGGUUUGGAUAAAUGCCAUUUCAUUCAACAUGUCAAGUCACCACCUUGACACAAAUAGUUCUCUUCCACACACACAUGCACCGAGAUUGUAAAAUUUUUGGACAUAGUUUAAGUAGCACCUCCCAACUGUCCUUCACUGUGGACAUGACUAUUCGAAUAGUUUUACACUCUGCGGAGGUUGCGCACUUUACCCACAAGAUCCGGGAAGCUUUCGUGUCAUCCACGAUCCCGCAGUACCUCAAGUACUCGGGGGAAGCACCCGAUCAUUACCUUUCCCUAGACGACACUAACAUAGAGUCCACUCGUUGAUACACGGCCCUCGUGUAUAAGCAAAAGAUCAUGGGACUCUACCCUUUUCACAUUAUUACGCAUACACGAAGGGACCAACGGUGUGUCCGGUGCCCUGUGAAAACAGUCAUGGCCGCCUAUCCAAGCACGACCCCGUCCCGAGAGUGACCUCAAGUCACCCUCGUCACUAGUAAUGUGGGCACCAUGCUAGUAUCAGCCUAAGUAAUCAAUAAUGCCCCGUCCCAUAAAGGGGUAGAGUGGUUGCACAUGUUUGGUUGGGACGGUAAUCACACAUAAAUCUAAUCCAUCAUUUUACACACACACCAAAAGCUCUCUUCGGUACACCACUUCUUCCUCAAGUGGUGACCAUAGUUCAAUAUCUCCCAAGGGCAUUAGGGGCACCCGAUGGGGUUUUCGAAAGAAUGUAACCACGAAGAGUUCAUGGUACACAUGCACCUUUAUGCAUCAACUAGUCUCUUGACAUUGCAUUUAUGAACAAGGUAAAGUCAUGAGUAGGGGUAUGCAUCAUGUGGUCAUUCACAACAAGUUUACCACCGUCAUAUUUCAUCAUCAUGCAAUUGGAAAAAGGGUACCGAUGAACAAGGGGGUGUCAUGGUCAAAGGGCUGCUUGCCUGGUUCAUCAGAGUCUUCAAGUCUUAUGGUCCUCCUCCAAGUACUCCGUCUACUUCGUCAACUAACGUCGGAAACAAUCACAAUAAGCAACACAACAAGGCAAAAAUAAAAGUGCUCUAAAAAUAUAAGUUGGACUUUUCUAGGAUACCUUUGGUCAUAUGAGGGAUGACCAAAGUAGUUUCAUUGGGAUUUGAUCUAUGGAUAUCUCUGAACAUUUCAAUAUGAUGGAAUCAAGGGAUUUGUGGAUUUGGAAGAAGUGUACAGAAGAAUUACAUUGAAAAAUGAGCAAAGGAACCCAUUUCACAAGGAAUAAUUUUAGAAGCACCUAGGAGUUGGUUUCAUUGGAUUUGGAGUUCAAAUGAUUUUCCUAUGAAUUUGCAAAGUUGGCAAUAUAUGGAGAAGUGUACAAAUAUUCUAUGUGCCAUAGAAAGUACUAGGAACAAUGUUCAAAAACUAAGUUUUGACCUUAUAAGCAUCUAGGAAUUUGAAUCAUGGAAUUUGGAUCAAAAAUGGGCUCUCUGUGAUUUUCUAAAGUUCAUCACAGAAAUGGAAAAACAAGAUUUGAUAAAUGUUUGUGAAGAAAAAGUUCCUGGGAAAAUGUGCAAGUUGCACCAUGAGAUAGAUCAUGAUUUUAUGAGCUACUAGACAUUUGAAUCAUCAAAUUUGAAGUCUAUCUGAAUUCUUUAGAUAUUUUACAAUAUUUAUAAAAAGAGAAAAAGGAAGAAAAAAUGUCAACCUUAUAAAGCGCACUGGGUGAAGCCCAGAUAAACAACGCCUACUGGGCUCGGCCAAGUGGCUCAGCUGCGCGAGGGAGGACAUGACGUCGAAGGCGUACUAUAGGAGGGCGCCACCCAGCUGGGCAAACGGAUCGGCUAGAAGUCGUUUCCACUUAACCCGACUGGUGGAUCGGCUCGGUCACCUCUGCCGCUAACGGGCGGGCCCCCUGCCAGCUGGCGGGGUGGUCGUCCGCUACCUCACGCCUGAGGGAGAGGAGCGACAGGGGAGGCACGGCCGAGCGGCACCGGCACCCGUCCUGGCGGCUCCGGUCACCUGCGAUGGUGCCCAGCACACCGGAGGACUCAGCGCAGUGCGCCGAUCCCGUCCAUGUGCUUCGCGCCCGCGGAGGAGCUCGGGAUAUCAUGAAUUUUGGCGGCGUCCGGCGGCGAUUCUUUGGCUGUGGAGGAGGAUAGGGGAUGCGGGAGAGAGAGAGGGUUGAUCUAGAAGGACUAGGGGAGGGGAAGAGAGUGAAUGGAGAUGAGGGAGAGACUAGGGGAGGCCCUAUAAGGCGAGGCCAUGGUGCACCAUGAGCCAAGCUCACGGGUGCUCGCGGAAAUCGCGGUGGCAGUCGAGGGAGGGUUCCUGGAUGGGUCAGUGGCGCUCGUGGAGUUCGUCCAGGAGCGAGGGAGGUGAUACGGGGAGCGGGUGAUGCCAGAGGAGGUCCCGCACGAGUGCAACGGGCGGUGAGCUCGACAGGGGCAAAGGAGGCCGAGGGGAAAGGGGCCCGACAGCUAGGCGUGUCACGCACGCCGAGGCGGACUCGGGGGACACGCUCCCGGCGCCCAAGGUCGUUGGGAGGCUUUGGGCAGAGAGCGGCUACAGUGCAAGGGCGCACUGUAGCACGCUCCAGAGCGCCCAUAUGGCUGUCCAUGCCAUUUUCUAUGCUUGUGGGCGCGUCCUUGCAUGUCCAGUAGUCUUUGUGGGGGUGCUAAGGAAGGGAUCUUGUCCUUGGAUGCUUUUGGUGGCCAGCGGGUGAAGAGAGAGGAAGGAGAAGAGUGGAAAUGGGGUUGUUUAGAAUAGAAAAUUGGUGGUUUCAUCCCCUUGAUCAAUGAGCAUUGACUUGUGCCAAAUGACAGGGGUAGAGGGAGGUUAGGAGGAGGUGUGGUAAAGAGGAGAACUCAUUUGGAUUAGUGGAAGAGGCCCAAACAGGGUUUUUACUUAAAAUGCAGAAGGUGUUUGAUAUGGUUUUGGGGUACUUGCACUGACUUCCUUCUUGUGCCACUUGGCAGGGGUGUUUUUAACGACAAAAUGAUAGGGUAGAAGGAAGAUGAGCUUAUUUGGGAGAGUUUUCUAAUGUAACUUUGGCAAACCCUAAAAAUUAGCAGAAAUGAACUUGUGUAGAUCUAGUUGAGCAAAUCACUUCCCCUUGAUUCACCACUUGGUGUAGUGGCCUCAUCUGGUCAUGUGAACAUGCUCACAAAAGUUGGGGUCAAGGAGAGAAAGUUGGUAGUACAAAGUUGUUCAAAUUUGAUUCUGGUCAAAGAGGGUUUUGGGGCAUUUUGGUGAACCAAAAUGACCUUAAUUGAGAUGAGGCUCUGCAAGGUGAUCAAAAUAUGCAUUUGUGACUUGCUGGAUUUUCCUUGGAUGUUUAUGAAAAUAUUUCCUGUAGAAUGGGCAGAAAUGUUUUUGGGAGGUUUUGUCUAAUACUUUGAACAUGACCAUGUGUUGAAACUCAUAUAUAUGGAAAAUAUAUGUCCACUAAGUUUCCCUGAUUUUUCUCAAAUAUUUUUGAAGCCUUUAAAUAAUUUUUAACCUAUUAAAGACCAUUUCUAGCCUAAAGAAAAAGCCUUUAAAUAAAAUAGGAAAAUUACUUUUAAAAUUAUUAUUUUGUGGUUUAUAGGAGUCCUACAUCUAAUAGGUUUCAAAUAUAUUCUUUGAAAUAUUUUUCAUACCCCAAAUCAAGUACUUGUAGUGCAAACCUCGAUUUAGGGGUUUUUGGAAAAUUAAUUUUUGAAAAUACUAUUUGGCCAAAUUAUUUUUGCAAGAAAUUAUUUUUAUGUCCUAUACACAUGGCAUGAUCAUUGGGCAAGGUUUUGGAUUAAGGAGAAGGGGUACAAGAGUUGGAGGAUUUAUUUGAUUUUUAGAGCACUUGCAAACAGCAGACAAAAAUCAAAUCAAGCAAAGUCCAAAACACUCAAAAGUUUUUGUUAAACCGCAUUUUAUCAUGAUUAUUAGCUUAAGUGUAGUGGCAUGAAAAUCAGGGUGUGACAGACCUACCCCCCUUACAAGAAUCUCGUCCCCGAGAUUCCCAAACUAGGCAUGGAAAGGAAUAUGGAAACUUGGAUAUGGGGUAGUCUUCAUGUCCCCAUACUUCUUCUGCUUCCGAAUGGUGCUCCCUUGAACCUUGAAGUACUCGAUGGCGUGGCUUCGUGUAUGACGUCCUUGCUUGAUCUAGUUUGCUAAGGGGUCUCUCGCGUUAGGUCGGGUUGGGCUGGGGGUCAAUGGUUCGGUGAUUAUUGUCCUGGUAGGGAUCGUGCUUGUUAGGAAGUUGGAAACACUUCCGGAGUUGUGUCGUGUGGAAAAAAACGUUGUGCAUUCAGGUGGCAACUCAAGUUGGUAAUCGUCUUUUCUUCGCAUUGUAGUGAUCUUGGAGAGGGGCGAUAAAUCUUGGUGUGAGCUUCCCUUAGACAUGGAAAUGCUUGGUUCCUUUGAGAGAAGUGGCUCGUAGAUACACCUGGUCUUCGACGAGAAAGUUCACUCCUUGACGAUGGUGGUUGGUAUAGUUCUUUCUCCUUGGCAUGGCGGUCUUCAAAUGUUCCUUGACCAGCUGAACGACUCUUCUUCCGUCUUCGGUAGACAAGUAGGUCACCAAAUAAUGAUGACAACUAUCUUGUCUAAGUACUCCAUGAAGACUUUGUUCACGGGGUACAUAAAGUAGGCUGGGGGAUUGGCAGUGGUCACAGUUGAGUGUUGGCCAGGGUCUACUUGACCUAGAGCCAAAGCCCAUGGUCAUGAUCUGACCAUGUUGUGGCUUGGUAGGGCUUAAGGGUUUCAAGGAUUCUAGUGUGCGAGUGAAAAUUUAUCAUCUUAUUAUUAAGCACGGUAUCUAAGAUGCCAAUCGUUCUAUCUAGCCUCCAAACAAACCACCUUAUACCACUGAAAGCUUCCUUUCGUAUAUACCAACUCUAAUCGUCACUCAUGCUAUUCAUAUCCACAUGACUCCCUAGAGGAGGUCUGACAAAAUCAUACAUGUCAACUAUCCCCAAACUCAUGUGUAUGGCUAUCCCUAUGUAAAAAUCCAUGGGUAGAGCAUACAAGCUGCUAAGCUUGGAUUAAACACCACAAUCCAAGUGCUCAGCUUAUCCUUCCAAGGUCCAAGAUAGUGCAUAUCUAUCCUAAGGAAACACGUCGUAUGCCACUCCAAGAUAUUGUUUCCUUCAUAUGAAUCAACUCCAACAGCCUAUUAACUCCAUCAAUCACUACAUGAUCCAUCAAUUCUACAAAACCGAUGUCUACGGUGUUCCAUGCGAUCUCCUAAAGUCCCUAUAAUCCCCAAAUACUUGAAAGGGCUAUCCUUACUAUAGUCAGUCCACCAACUCCCAUUAUCAUGGUCAAGUAAACUCCAAGGUCGGGCUUAUAUAGAUCCCUAAAUCAACUCCGAAAAUUAAUCCAAUCUCCUAGCUUAUUGUCCACCGAGAAACAUGGUAUCAUGAUUGAGAUCAUCAAUCUAAAUCCAAUUUACUCCGAACCAUGUAGACUUACUCAACAUCUAUACUCCAAUAGGAUCACCUAUUUAAAUCCAAAUUUACUCCGGGGUGAUGAAAGAUAUGCUACUCUAUCCACAUGAUCCCACCAGGUUCAUCUACCAACAUGAAUGCCUCAUAAUCUCCCAGAGUGUCUCAGAUAAUCCCUCGGGGUUACUAGUAUAGCUCCAUGAAGUCAUUUGUCCCCUAUUCCUAUAUCCUCAAAUUGGUCUUCCCUAUGGCAUCCUCAGUUCUGGUGCUAUAUUAGGAUGGUAAUGUGCUCAUUCACUACGUCCACUAGUUCCAUAACAAACCCAAUGUUGUGCAAGGCUACGGAGACUUAACCGGUUCUCUCAAUUUGCAGGUUAAGCUCGUGGUUAAGGAUUCGAGUGAGGUCUUGAGGGGUCUAGGGAUUGGUUUCUGAUCUUUGAGGGGUAAACAUAACUCUACGGGGUUGCACUGGGUCGAGAACGCUGCAGCAAAAGGACUUCAGUGCUAGUUGGUCGCCGAAGUAGACUCCUUGGUGCAUCUUGUCUUGGUGGUCUUCAGAAAUGAGAGGGAGAAGUAGCAUAGAAGAGGUGAAUGCCUAAAGGGGGGGUUCUAUAGUGCAGGUGCAAACAAACAAGUGCCAAAAGGGGCCAAACAAAAGAAAACAAGGAAGGUGAUAUAGUCGUGUACUUGUUGCCUAGGGCAAAAGUGUGACUUAUAUCAAAAUACAAACAAUAAAAACAAGCAACACACAAUCAUGGUUCUAUUCGAACCAUCAUAUGGACUUGACUAUGCAUAGGGGGUACACGACUCAUCCUACCCUAGGGGUUCUCGGACUCAGUAGUCGUGCCUUGUGCCUCGUGCAGUCUUCUGAGUUUUCCUUAGGUGUUGCUACAUCUCUUGUUUGAUGAAACAGUCUAGGUUGAGCCUGAAGAAUCUUCAACAACUUCUCGCCUGAUGAGGUGAUGGGGUGAAGGUGGCUCCUCGUGGUUGGCAUUGACUUGGUCUCCUCUUGCCUUCUUAUUCAUGACGAUCCUUUUGCAUUCUAAGGCAUCGGCGGUUCCAGGUGGAAAUCCUUUAUGCAAUGAUAUUAACAAGGCAUAGUAGAGGUCUAAUCUGUCGGACAUAUUGUUGACAAUAUCGUCACCGAGAGAGGGGGAUGAAGAGAACCAUUUUCCUGCUCACUAUAGUGAGGCGGACCAAAUGGCGAGGUUCUCAUCCACCGGUGGUUGCCGAUACAACAACUGUAGUGACAGGGUUACUCUAUUAGCGAUGUAUAUCAUGAUCUUGCAUAUCCUAUGCCUUGAUCAUUGUAGGAUAAGGUCGCAUCAUCUUGGGGUAGUGUCAAGGGUGUCGCCAUCUUCUAGGUAUUCAUGUCCUCAUUCCUUGAGUAUGUCUCUUUUGUUGGUAUCGUCUUGUCGAGAUGUCGCCAAUCUUGUGUUCAGAAGAUGUGGGUGAAUGUCUGACAAGGCAUCUCCCUUCUAGGUUAUCCCCGAGGACUACAAGGAAUCCAGUGGUCAGGGGCAUAAGGAUUCUACCGACCAAAAGUUUUGAAGGGGAAGAGAUCAAUAAGGAAAGUAUACCUUAGUUUUUGAAAAACUGAGAAGGGAAGAGAAGUAUAGAUAGUUUUGAAAACUGGUAAUAGUUUUGGAAAUAGUUUUAACCCUAACUAAUGACCAUGCUAACUAAGGCUUCCUACAGUCAGGAUGGCUCUGAUACCAGCUAUGUGGGGACCCUGACUCGUAAGUCGUGAUCACCGAAUGCACGUGUACAGUGAUCCCAGAGAUCAAUGCUCACUGAACACACAGAAGCUGAGUAACAAGAGUCUUACAUCCAUACAUACAGUCUUACACAAGUAGGACCAUUAUGGUCAAGUCUUGAGUGUAUCAUCGCAGCGGAAAUAUUCGUUGACAACUUGGACCCAUGCCAUCUGCCAUAACCCUACAGGCAUUCUGACUGGGAAACGUCCUAGCUCGCAUGCUCGUCACCAAAAUAUUCUUCAUCAUAUCCUGUUCUUUCAUGCCUGGACAAUAAAAUAACCAGUGGCAAGCCAGUGAGUACUUUGAAUGUACUCGCAAGCAACCCAUGAUUUGGUUCAAAGUAACAAUGCAACUGUACAACAGGUAAGCAACCUAGCUUCAAGCUAGUUGAGAUGUCCUAUCGACUUGUGAGAUAUGCAUCAAUGAACAUGGGUAACCUUGAGAACAGGUUACAGAUAUCAACAUAAAUAGGGUUUGGAUAAAUGCCAUUUCAUUCAACAUGUCAAGUCACCACCUUGACACAAAUAGUUCUCUUCCACACACACAUGCACCGAGAUUGUAAAAUUUCGGGACAUAGUUUAAGUAGCACCUCCCAACUGUCCUUCACCGUGGACACGGCUAUUCGAAUAGUUUUACACUUUUCAGAGGUUGCGCACUUUACCCACAAGAUCCGGGAAGAUUUCAUGUCAUCCAUGAUCCCGCGGUACCUCAAGUACUCGGGGGAAGCACCCGAUCAUUACCUUUCCCUAGACGACACUAACAUAGGGUCCACUCGUUGAUACACGGCCCUCGUGUAUAAGCAAAAGAAUCGUGGGACUCUGCCCUUUUCACAUUAUUACGCAUACACGAAGGGACCAACGGUGUGUCCGAUGCCCUGUGAAAACAGUCAUGGCCGCCUAUCCAAGCACGACCCCGUCCCGAGAGUGACCUCAGUCACCCCCGUCACUAGUAAUGUGGGCACCGUGCUAGUAUCAGCCUAAGUAAUCAAUAAUGCCCCGUCCCAUAAAGGGGUAGAGUGGUUGCACAUGUUUGGUUGGGACGGUAAUCACACAUAAAUCUAAUCCAUCAUUUUACACACACACCAAAAGCUCUCUUUGGUACACCACUUCUUCCUCAAGUGGUGACCAUAUGUCAACAUCUCCCAAGGGCAUUAGGGGCACCCGAUGGGGUUUUCGAAAGAAUGUAACCACGAAGAGUUCAUGGUACACAUGCACCUUUAUGCAUCAACUAGUCUCUUGACAUUGCAUUUAUGAACAAGGUAAAGUCAUGAGUAGGGGUAUGCAUCAUGUGGUGGUUCACAACAAGUUUACCACCAUCAUAUUUCAUCAUCAUGCAAUCGGAAAAAGGGUACCGAUGAACAAGGGGGUGUCAUGGUCAAAGGGCUGCUUGCCUGGUUCAUCAGAGUCUUCAAGUCUUAUGGUCCUCCUCCAAGUACUCCGUCUACUUCGUCAACUAAUGUCGGAAACAAUCACAAUAAGCAACACAACAAGGCAAAAAUAAAAGUGCUCUAAAAAUGUAAGUUGGACUUUUCUAGGAUACCUUUGGUCAUAUGAGGGAUGACCAAAGUAGUUUCAUUGGGAUUUGAUCUAUGGAUAUCUCUGAACAUUUCAAUAUGAUGGAAUCUAGGGAUUUGUGGAUUUGGAAGAAGUGUACAGAAGAAUUACAUUGGAAAAUGAGCAAAGGAACCCAUUUCACAAGGAAUAAUUUUAGAAGCACCUAGGAGUUGGUUUCACUGGAUUUGGAGUUCAAAUGAUUUUCCUAUGAAUUUGCAAAGUUGGCAAUAUAUGGAGAAGUGGACCAAUAUUCUAUGUGGCGUAGAAAGUACUAGGAAAAAUGUUCAAAAACUAAGUUUUGAACUUAUAAGCAUCUAGGAAUUUGAAUCAUGGAAUUUGGAUCAAAAAUGGGCUCUCUGUGAUUUUCUAAAGUUCAUCAUAGAAAUGGAAAAAUAAGAUUUGAUAAAUCUUUGUGAAGAAAAAGUUCCUGGGAAAAUGUGCAAGUUGCACCAUGAGAUAGAUCAUGAUUUUAUGAGCUACUAGAAAUUUGAAUCAUCAAAUUUGGAGUCCAUCUGAAUUCUCUAGAGAUUUUACAAUAUUUAUAAAAAGAGAAAAAGGAAGAAAAGAUGUCAACCUUAUAAAGCGCACUGGGCGAAGCCCGGCUAAACAGCGCCUACUGGGCUCGGCCCAGUGGCUCAGCUGCGUGAGGGAGGAGGUGACGCCGAAGGCGCACUACAGGAGGGCGCCACCCAGCGGGGCAAGCGGAUCGGCUAGAAGUCGUUUCCACUUAACCCGACUGGUGGGUCGGCUCGGUCACCUCUGCCGCUGACGGGCGGGCCCCCUGCCAGCUGGCGGGGUGGUCGUACGCUACCUCGCGCCUGAGGGAGAGGAGCGACAGGGGAGGCACGGCUGAGCGGCACCGCCGCCCGUCCCGGCGGCUCCGGUCACCUGCGAUGGUGCCCAGCACACCGGAGGACUCAGCGUAGUGCACCGAUCCCGUCCAUGUGCUUCGCGCCCGCGGAGGAGCUCGGGAUAUCAUGAAUUUUGGCGGCGGCCGGCGGCGAUUCUUUGGCUGUGGAGGAGGACAGGGGACGCGGGAGAGAGAGAGAGGGCUGAUCCAAAAGGACUAGGGGAGGGGGAGAGAGUGAAUGGAGAUGAGGGAGAGACCAGGGGAGGCCCUAUAAGGCGAGGCCAUGGUGCACCGUGAGCCAAGCUCACGGGUGCCCGCGGAAAUCACGGUGGCGGUCGAGGGAGGGUUCCUGGAUGGGUCAGUGGCGCUCGUGGAGUUCGUCCGGGAGCGAGGGAAGUGAUAGCGGGUGCGGGGCGAUGCCAGAGGAGGUCCCGCAUGAGUGCAAUGACCGGUGAGCUUGGGCGGCAUUCGGGUGAGCUCGACAGGGGCAAAGGAGGCCGAGGGGCGAGGGGCCCGACAGCUAGGCGUGUCACACAUGCCGAGGCGGACUCGGGGGACACGCUCCCGGCGCCCAAGGUCGUCGGGAGGCUUGGGGCAAAGAGCGGCUACAGUGCAAGGGCGCACUAUAGCGCGCUCCAGAGCGCCCAUAUGGUGGUCCACGCCAUUUUCUAUGCUUGUGGGCGCGCCCUUGCAUGUCCAGUAGUCUUUGUGGGGGUGCUAAGGAAGGGAUCUUGUCCUUGGAUGCUUUGGGUGGCCAGUGGGUGAAGAGAGAGGAAGGAGAAGAGUGGAAAUGGGGCUGUUUAGAAUAGAAAAUUGGUGGUUUCAUCCCCUUGAUCAAUGAGCAUUGACUUGUGCCAAAUGACAGAGGUAGAGGGAGGUUAGGAGGAGGUGUGGUAAAUAGGAGAACUCAUUUGGAUUAGUGGAAGAGGCCCAAACAGGGUUUUUAGUUAAAAUGCAGAAGGUGUUCGAUAUGGUUUUGGGGUACUUGCAUUGACUGCCUUCUUGUGCCACUUGGCAGGGGUGUUUUUCACGACAAAAUGAUAGGAUAGAAGGAAGAUGAGCUUAUUUGGAAGAGUUUGCUAAUGUAACUUUGGCAAACCCUAAAAAUUAGCAGAAAUGAACUUGUGUAUAUCUAGUUGAGCAAAUCACUUCCCCUUGAUGCACCACUUGGUGUAGUGGCCUCAUCUGGUCAUGUGAACAUGCUCACAAAAGUUGGGGUCAAGGAGAGAAAGUUGGUAGUACAAAGUUGUUCAAAUUUGAUUCUGGUCAGAGAGGGUUUUGGGGCAUUUUGGUGAACCAAAAUGACCUUAAUUGAGAUGAGGCUCUGCAAGAUGAUCAAAAUAUGCAUUUGUGACUUGCUGUAUUUUCCUUGGAUUUUUAUGAAAAUAUUUCCUGUAGAAAUAUUUCAAAUCCUUGAAAUGGGCAGAAAUGUUUUUGGGAGGUUUUGUCCAAUACUUUGGACAUGAUCAUGUGUUGAAACUCAUAUAUAUGGAAAAUAUAUGUCCACUUAGUUUGCCUGAUUUUUCUCAAAUAUUUUUGAAGCCUUUAAAUAAUUUUUAACCUAUUAAAGACCAUUUCUGGCCUAAAGAAAAAGCCUUUAAAUAAAAUAGGAAAAUUACUUUUAAAAUUACAUUUUUGUGGUUUAUGGGAGUCCUACAUCUAAUAGGUUGCAAAUAUACUCUUUGAAAUAUUUUUCAUACCCCAAAUCAAGUACUUGUAGUGCAAACCUCGAUUCGGGGGUUUUUGGAAAACUAUUUUUUGAAAAUACUAUUUGGCCAAAUUAUUUUUGCAAGAAAUUAUUUUUAUGUCCUAUACACAUGGCAUGAUCAUUGGGCAAGGUUUUGGAUUAAGGAGAAGGGGUACAAGAGUUGGAGGAUUUAUUUGAUUUUUAGAGCACUUGCAAACAGCAGACAAAAAUCAAAUCAAGCAAAGUCCAAAACACUCAAAAGUUUUUGUUAAACCGUAUUUUAUCAUGAUUAUUAGCUUAAGUGUAGUGGCAUGAAAAUCAGGGUGUGACACCAGCACCUGGCUCCAGCUUCCCCGCUUCUUUGCAGGUGAACUUCCGGCCGGCGCUUCGGGCGGCCUCUGGCUUCAAGCGGACGGUUGCUGCAGCAGGGCCUCCUGGGCUUCGCUGGAGGUCUUCGUCGCCGGGAAUGUGGCCCUGACCCGCGGUUGGCAAACGUUUGGCCGCGUGCAUGGCCUGAGCCAGCGGUGCACCCUGCACUUCAAGUUUGACGGGGACGCCACCCUCUACGUGAGGGUGUUCGGAGAAGACGGUCGCCGUGCUGGGUGCCGCCCCGAAGACGAUGACCGCGGUCGGGUACCCAGCCCCGAUGAUGAUCGGGAUGAAGAUGACGGCAGGCGCGUGGUCGGCAGCGCUCGUGGCUCGCCUAGCUUCAGCAGCUCUCCUUCGAAUAGCAGCUCCUCCAGCGGUGGCCAUGACCAGCCCCCGCGCCGUCGCGCUCGCCUUGAGGGAGGUAGCGGGUCAGCCCGCUGUUGCGCCUCAGUGAAGCACGAGGAGGAGUCUGACUGAACUCCGAAGGCAGUACGAGCCCUCGCCGUGAGUUGGUGUCGAGCAAUCCAUGCCUAUUUUGUUUUUCUCCCUUCCCUGCGCAAAGAGAAAGUAGUGUGGGGCCCCGUGGGGGCGUGUUGGACUGUUACUGUUAAUUACCAUGUUGUUUCCGCUAUUUCCAUGAUGUGUUUUUGUGCCGCAUGCCCGCGUGCAGGAAUUACUUAGCUCGGGGGGACUUGCCGCAGUCUUCGCUUCCCGAGGUCGAGGCCUCGCCGUGCGCUUCAUGUCCUGCAAGGAUUAGUCAGGAGUGGUAACUUCCGGCCUCGGUCGCGGGGGCGACCGACUCAGGUCCUGUGUCCGCGUCGCGAUGCCCGUGGGGCAUGGACUGGGAGGGGUGCUCCCGUAGUGGUCUUGGAUAGGAGAGCCUCAAACGACUGGGGCAGAAAACACUCGUGAGGGCGCCCGCGCAACCCCCUCGCGAGACAUGCGCGAGAGGAAACGAAGCAAGUAGGCGAAAAAGGCAGAGAGUCACAAGUCAAGGACGACAACAACUCCAAUAAAACUUCAAAUAGGGGCGAACAAGCCAACUGCAGAAAGCAAAAAAAAAGCCGCGUCCGGCACCUAAUCUAGUCUUCGACGUCUUCUCACCAGCGCGGAGCUAAGUGCUGCCACUGGGCAUGGGCGGGUACAGCCCCAACUCAUUAUUAUGUGAGAGUGUCACGGGCGGCGAGCUUCACAGGCAUUGGCCUUCUUCACAGGCUCCGGGCCUUUCUCGGGGAAAUGAGCUUCACAGGCAUUGGCCUUCUUCACAGGCUCUGGGCCUUUCUCGGUUCGUCUAGCUUCACAGGCAUUGGCCUUCUUCACAGGCUCUGGGCCUUUCCCGGUUCGUCUAGCUUCACAGGCUCUGGGCCUUCUUUACAGGCUCUGGGCCUUUCUUCAAGGGUAGAAUUUCCGAAGAUGCUGGAUGUUCCACGCGUUCGGGAUGGGCACCCCCUCCUGAGUCUCCAAGCGUGUGGCGCGAGGCCUAGAGACAUGAACAACCUUGAAUGGGCCCUCCCACAUGGGAGAGAGCUUGUGCAGCCCCUCCCUGGAGAGCACCCGUCUGAGCACGAGGUCACCUACCUCGAGGGUCUUGGGGCGGAUGCUGCGGCAGUGGUACCGCUGUAGUGCUUGUUGGUAUCUCGCAACCCAAAGCGCAGCCUACCGACGGCGUUCCUCCCCAAGCACGAGGUCCACCCCCCGCAUGGCAUCCUACUAUGCUUCGUCGAAAGCUAGGACCCACGCGGAGCGAUGCCUGACCUCAUGAGGAAGGACCGCCUCAGCACCAUAGAUGAGGAAGAACGGGGUUUCACCGAUCGACUUGGUAGCGGUAGUACGGAUGGACCAUAGCACGGACUGAAGCUCGUCAUGCCAUCCCCUGCCGCAGGCCUCUAGCUUCUUCUUGAAGGUUCGGGUUUUGAGAUCUUUCAGGACCUCCGCGUUGGCGUGCUCAGCUUGGCCGUUGCUCCGAGGGUGUGCCACCGAAGCGUAGCAUAUCUGCGUUCCAAGGUUAGCACAAUAUGUUUUGAAGAGAUUGCUAGUGAACUACGAACCGUUGUCGGUGAUGAUGCGAUUGGGUACCCCAAACCGGCUCAUGAGGCCCCUGAUGAACUUGACUGCCGAGCCAGCCGGGAUGGUGCGGACAGCUUCCACUUCUGCCCACUUGGUGAAUUUGUCAACGGCGACGUAAAGGUAGCCCCUGGCGCCCGAGGAAAUGGGCCAAGGAUGUCCAAUCCCCAAACAGCGAACGGCCACGAGAGGGGAAUGGUCUGAAGGCCCUGAGCUGGCUAGUGAAUCUGCUUGGCGUGGAACUGACAGGCUUCACAAACCUUCACCAGCUCGAUUGCGUCGUUGAGUGUUGUUGGCCAAUAGAAACCACUGCGAAACACCUUGCCGACAAGUGUGCGCGAAGACGAGUUGUGCCCGCAGUCUCCAUCGUGAAUGUCUGCCAGUAGCUCUUCUCCUUACUCCCUGGAGAUGCAGCGUAGAGUAACGUCAUUCGGCCGCUUUUGGUAGAGCUCUCUGUCUUGGAUGCAGUAAGCCGUGGCCUACCUCGCCACGCGUUCCGCGUCCUCUUCCUUCUCCGGCAGGAUCCCUCGCACCAAGUAAUCCUUGAACUCCACGGUCCAACAUCCUUCCUAAGGCUCCAACGCCAAGAGCAGGCAUGCCCCUGAGGUCGGGCCAUAGGCCGGGGCUCCCGAGGCAGGCAGUUGAGGGAGCUCCUCCCAAGGUUGUGCUGUGCUCGACAGUGAUGGUGCCGCCGAGGGUUUGAAGAGUCUCUCCUCGAAGACGCCAGGCUCCUGAGGCAACCGCGUGGAGGCCCUCCUGGCAAUGUCAUCAGCCUCUUGAUUGGUGCCGCGAGGCACAUGUUGCAACUCCAGCCCCCAAAACUGUUUCUCCAUCCUGCGGACCUCCGCGAGAUAUGCUUCCAUGUGUUCGUCCUUCGGCUCGUACACCUUGUUGGGGAAGUUGACGAGAAGUUGUGAAUCGCCCUUGAUGAUGAGGCACUUUAAUCCCAAGGCGACUGUAGCUUUCAAGCCCGCUAUCAGGCCCUCGUAUUCUGCUAUGUUGUUGGAGACCUUUUCUCCAUGCUGGAAGCAGAGUUGCACGGCAUAGUAGAGCUUGUCCUGAGUAGGAGAUAUGAGCACUGCGCCAGCCCCCGCGCCAUGUCGGGAGAAUGCCCCGUCGAAGUACAUGACCCAGCCGUCCGGUGCUUCGCUUCUCGGGGAAAGCGACCGGUCCUCGCCCGCUUUGAGCCCCGGUGCCUUUGCCCAUUCUGCCACAAAAUCUGCAAGUGUGGCUCCCUUGAUGACUCUGGUCGUGCUGGAUUCCAGCUGAAAUGCUUGCAGUUCGAUAUUCCAUUCAGCGACUCUUCCAGCUGAGUUGGGGCUCCUGAGUACCCUUUCCAAGGGGUAUGUUGAGACGACCUUGAUGGGAUGGCCUUGGAAGUAGUGUCGCAGCUUACGUGAAGCCACUAACAGCGCGAGGAGGAGUUUUUGGGGGCAUGGGGUACCGCGCCCUUGCGUCCCAUAGCACCGUCCUGACGAAGUAUACAAGGUGCUUGAUGAGGUUGAGGGUGUCGGCGCCGCCCGCGUCCUCCGGAGCUUGAGGCGCCUCCUGAGACGGCGGAGCACCCAACGCUUGGUCGCCUGGAGAGGCCUCCUCCGCUUUGGGUGCGUUCCCCUGCUGAGGCUGAUCCUUUUCUGUUGCGGUCGUGGUCUUCGCGAGGCUUUCUCGGCUUUGCUCUACUUUGGUCGGGACAGCGGCUGUGGCCUUGGUCCGGCGCUCCUCUCUAACUGCCACCAGGGCUGCGCUGGUGGAGUAGGGGGUGGCUGCAAGGUAAAGCACCAGGGGCUCCCGAGGGCGCGGAGCUACCAUCACCGAAGGGCUGGUAAGGUACCUCUUGAGAUCUUGGAAUGCCUUGUCAGCCUCUUCAGUCCACUCGAAUGGACCCUUCUUCUUCAUCAGCUUGAAGAAGGGUAGUGCCCGCUCCCCCAGCUUGGAGAUGGAGCGUCCUAACGCGGUUACAUGCCCGGUGAGCUUCUGCAUUUCUCUGAGCGUCUUCAGCGGGCUCAUGUCUUUGACUGCCUUGACCUUCUCCGGGUUGGCCUCGAUGCCCCUGUGGGACACGAGGAAGCCCAAGAGCUUGCCCGAGGGGACUCCGAAUAUGCACUUCUCCGGGUUGAGCCGCAGAUCCACUUCACGGAGGCUCGCAAAGGUUUCUUUCAGGUCCUGUAUCAGGGUUUUUGCCUCUCGUGACUUCACCACAAUGUCAUUGACGUAAGCUUCAGCGUUCCUCCCGAGCUGUCGGCCCAAGGCGAUGUGCAUCAGCCGCUGAAAGUUCGCACCUGCGUUGCGCAACCCAAAUGGCAUGCAGGUAUAGCAGUACACUCCACACAGGGUCGGGAAGGUCGUUUUCUCCACAUCCUCUACCGCCAUCUUAAUCUGGUGAUAGCCCAAGAAGGCAUCUAAGAAGCACAGUAGGUCACACUCGGCGGUAGAGUCGAUGAUCUGGUCGAUGCGAGGGAGCGGGAACGGAUCCUGUGGGAAGGCCUUGUUGAGGUUGGUGAAGUCGACACACAUGCAUUCCUUUCCUCCCUUUUUUGGCACAACAACAGGGUUGGCCAGCCAUUCAGGAUAGCGGACCUCGCAAAUGACGCCCGCUGCCUCUAACUUGCGGGUUUCUUGGACGAUGAAGGCCUUCUUUUCCGUGGACUGCCGCCUUGCCUUCUGCUUCACGGGGCACAUGUUGGGGCACACGUUGACAUGAUGUUCAAUCACAUCCCUUGGGACCCUUGCUAGCUGAUCAGGUUCCCAUGCAAACACCUUCUUGUUUGCACGCAGGAACUUCACCAAGGCCUCCUCCUACUCAGGUUCGAGGUUGGCGCCUAUGGUGAAGGUGGCGCCAGUGGAUCCAUCCUCGUAGACCAGUACCUGCUUGGUCUUCGCCUUGUCUUGGGCGAAUAGCUGCUUCUUCUUAGCUGGUGCAGCCCCCUUGGGCUCGAGGGCAUCUGUGCUGGCGGGCUGAGCCACUGCGGCCAUCUUGAAAGCAAGCUUGAGCGCCUGCAGCGCAUCCCUUGUGUCUCCGGACACGGUAAGGACGCCACUGCUCCCGGGCAUCUUCAUGAGGUUGUACGCUGGGUGAGUCGCCGCCAUGAACUGGGCCAAGGCUGGGUAGCCGAGGAUGGCAUUGUAUGGGAGGCCGAUGGGGGCGAUGUCGAAGUCGAUCAGCUCCGUGCAGAAGUUGUCGUGGCUGCCGAAGGUCACAGGGAGGCGGAUCUUCCCCAGGGAGCCGGUGGAACCGCUUCCGACGCCCGAGAAGGGCCUGCUGGGUUGAAGCCGCUCUAGCGGCAUGUGGAGGAGGCCGAAGGCCUCCACCGAGAGCACGUUGAGGCAGGCACCCCCGUCGAUGAGGGUCCUGGUGACGGCCACCUGGCAGAUGGUGGGGGUGCAUAGCAUCGGGAGUGCGCCCGAGCAGGCGGUGCUGGAGGGGUGAUCAUCCAAGUUGAAGGUUAAAUCAGCCUCGGGUGCCACCCAGCCCGGGGGGGUUUCACGGCGCUUGAGGACGACGCCGAUCUGGCGGAUGAACGGCUUGACGUGGCGGCUCGAAGGUGGUGCCUACGAUCCGCCCAGGAUGGCUGCGACGAUUGGGGGUGCCGGCGCAUCAUGAUGGGCGAGGAAGAGGUUGCGCAACUCCUCCCAGGAGGCCACAGAAGCCGCUAGCAGGUGGAGCAUCCACAUGCGAGGGACGCCGGUGAGGGCCAUGGGCAGCCAGUUCGCCAUGACCUUUUCUUCGCCUCCGGCCUUGAGGACGGCUUCUUCAUAUGCUAGCGGGAAGACCAGCGGGUCGGCCAUGCCGUCGUAGCGCGGAGGCAGGUCGGGCUUGAACUUGCCUAGCCAGGCGACACUGCGUAGCUCGGUGGUGAAGGCGCGGCAGCCUGUGGUGGCCACCGGAGUCCUCUACUGAUGCUGGGCUUGCUCCUGGGGAUUCCUGCGCACCGCUGCCUGGAGCAGCGUGGGGUCUUGACGUGGUGGUGCAGGAAUGCGGUCAUGGCGCACCGGUGCCGGGAGCAUGCGAGCACUGUCUUGGGGACGAGGGAUUUCUUGGCAGCUCCUCUCUGGUCGCGCGGGCACCGGACGCGGUGGAUCUCGUCCUGGGGCUGCGCGCCUUGGAGCUAGGGCACCUUCUUUGGGAGGAGGCGGCGGAGGCACCUCCUGAUCUGCGCCCCCUGCGCAGGAUUGAGGGCGAGGCAGUGAGAGGGACGGCAUAGGAGAGCCCCCUGCAGCACUGACGAGCUCGGUGAUGCGGGCGAGCCAGUCCUCAUAGAGGUCGUCGACGGGGCGGUAGUGCAGGAGCUCACGCGCCAGGAGCAACGCGGCGUGCGCGUCUGUGGGGGCGCAACGAGCGUGGGACGACAAACCGGCUGGAGUCAGCGAUGGUGUGGCGGUGCGGCCUUCCCUCCGCACCGAAUGAUGCAGAGACGAGGCCUGCUGCUCGUUCCCCGCCGGGCCGGUGGCGGCGUUGGCGACAGGCGAUGGGGAACGACAUGGACACCCGCCGACGGGAGCCGUCUGGGUGACGCGGGCAGCGAGAGCAGCCUGGCGCUCGGCGCGAGUCCGGCGAGCGUCAGCCAUGGACACGACAGAAGAUCGAACACGAAAUAGCGGAAGAAAGAUUCCGGCGCACCCCCUACCUGGCGCGCCAAAUGUCGGAUGUUGGGUGCCGGCAGACCCUUAAUGUUCGAACUCUCGGGUGCGCACGAAGAUCUCUUCCCUACCGAUCUACAUCCAAUCGCCUCGUGAGAUCUAAGCCUAAAAUGAUGAGCAACACGAGGGACACAAGAUUUAUACUGGUCCGGGACACCAUUGUGGUGUAAUACCCUACUCCAGUGUGUGGUGUGGUGGAUUGCCUCGGGGGCUGAUGAUGAAUAGUACAAGCGAAGAACAGCCUCGUGAGAGGUGUUCUUGAGCUGGUGCGAUGAACUGCUUGUGCGAGUUCGAUCGCCUCUCUCUCUCUCUGUGUCUUCCAAUAUCUGGAUCCGCCCCCUACUCUGUGGUGGCUAGCUCUAUUCAUAGAGGCCCUGGGCCUCUUCCCAAAUAUUGAGCGGGAAGGGCGCCAACGACGGCCAUUUCGAAGGGGAACAUCUAGUACAAGUUAUCCUGACUAAAGUUGGUCUUCAGCUGUCAAAAGCACUAGCGAUGACGUCGUCUUGGGCUCCACGGUGACCUCCAUCCUGCCGCUCUGCUGGUCUUGGUCUUGUUGCACUGAAAUGGCAACCUUUACCUGAUGCCUUGGUACUCCGCGCCUGUGCAUGCCCCCUUUGCACCAAAGAGGAAACAAGGACACUGCGCAUGCCGGCGUCGACCUAGUCUUGAUCGUCAUGGCUUGCGUCAUGAGCACCUCGCGUGGUACCCUGCCUUGAUCUCUCCGCCUCCUCACGAGCCUGCCUGGCGAGGCCGUUCCUGAGGAAGCUUGCAUCGUCCCCCCCAUGAGGCUUGGCCCCUUGCGAGGGUCUUGAGUCUUGUACUGACGAAGAUGGGCCGUACUGGGCCACCACUCGAGCCACGCCGCAGGCCGCAGGCAGGCAAGUCUGGGGACCCCCAUUCCCAGAACGCCGACAGAUGGUCCAUGACCUCAUCAGUGAAGCAUAGGGGGUGUGCGGCCCCUCUAUAUCUCGCAAUGUCGUGGCGGAGAUCGGCUGACCUUUGAGUUCAGUACUGAUUCCGAACAUAGUAACGGUCGUCGCGCCGGGCUUCAUGGCCAUUGUCUCGCGCCGGGGCACGCCAUCUUGAUCCGUAAAUUGAUCUGGUCUGACCAGCUUUAAUGGCUAGGUCGUGUUGCAAGUCGUAAGUAUAGCCCGCGGCUGCAGUCUCCCUGCCUCUUCAGUGAGGGGGCGCGGGUUGGUAGUCGGCUUGAUAUGCCACUCUAUCUCGUCCAUGUGGUGGUUGGUCUGGCUGAUCUGCCUGAUUGUAUUUUGACGGUAUUGGUUCAAGGACAUCGUUAUCAAACUGAGGCAGCAGCUUGCGCCCAGGGUAACUUUUGACAGGUCGCUCAUGGUCGUAUUCCUCGGUGCCAGGACCUUAGUCCACCUUUCCUUCAGCGUAUCUUACUCUUAUCUGAGCUGCUGCUGCUUCCUCUUUAGGCUCCGAGCUAUAGUAAUGAGCUACCGCUUGAAGCGUUCUUGGUCGAGGGGUUCCUCUGGGACGAUGAAGUCUUCGUCACCGAGGCUGGUUUCCUCUUCGGAUUCUGGCAUGUAGUUGUUGUCCUCCUCAUCUUCGUUGUCGGCACAUUUGGGGCUAUGCUCACCUUCUUCCCGCUCGUCCUGUUCAGAUGUGGGCUCGAUAAGGUGUUCGGCAUCUUCGGCGCCAUCCGGAGUCUCGUUGUCUCUGGUGCCGGUAUUACUAUCCCUCGCCCGACACGAUCGUGAGCGACGCCGCUGAUGUCAGUGCUUUGGUGGUUUAUCGACGGGUCUAUUCUCAUCUGGGCUUGGGUUCUCCUUGUUGUUCUUUGGAGUGUCCACCAUGUACACAUCAUAGGUUGAGGUGGUCGUCCAACGCCCCAUGACGGGUGGGACUUGGCUUGGUUCCGCGUCGGCAUCGUCGUUCAUAUCGUCGACGUCUUCGGACGCAUAAUCUAGCAUGUCGGUUAAGUCCUCGACAGUGGCUAUCAAGUGGGUGGUGGGUGGGGCGUAAAAUUCCCCUCUCUCAGCCCCCAGUCCGAGCUGGGUGCAGUUCGGAGCUAAAGCCUCCGUGAUGGCAAGAGACUGCAUUAGACCCAACGCUUCAUCUAAUAGCGGGAGUGGGGCCGGAAACUGCGGGUCUGUCGCGGUGUGUUCGGCAUGGAGCGCCUGAUCGGACUUUCUAAGUGCAGACCUCGGCAGUUCAGAACGGUUGCCCAGGGCCAGGUCUAAGCCUGCGUCUGGGUCUUCGGUAGGAAGUUUGAUAAGGGUAAGAAGUCCGUCGGGGUUUACGCUCUCAUCUUCGCACGAUGAGACCUGCCCCGGAUCUAAGGCCGAGGCGAGUGCUGGUGUUGACCCCUGGACGAGAUCCGACAGGGGAUCCGAAGAGUCUUCUUGGAUGGGGCGCAAAGUGGCGGCCGAGGCCACGAACCCGUCGAAGACCAAGUCUCCUUGGAUGUCAGCGACAUAAUUCAGGUUUCCAAACCCGAUCUGGGGGCCGGGGGCGUAACUAUCGACCUGCUCGAGGCGGCCGAUCGAGUUGACUCGAAGCACAAAUUCACCGAACACAAAAACCUGUCCAGGAAGAAAAAUCUCCCUAGCGGCGUCACCAUUGACGAAGAGGUGAGCCAUUGAUCCUUCUUUCGACGAUACAGCAAAGCUCUCAAUGAAAGUACCAAUGUCGGUGUCAAAAUCGGCAGAUCUCGGGUAGGUGGACCCAAGUUGUGCGUCUAAACAUAAAUGGUAACAAUGGAGAAGGGACACAAUGUUUACCCAGGUUCGGGCCCUCUUAAUGGAGGUAAAACCCUACUCCUGCUAGAUUAUAUUCGAGGGUAUAGGGGUUACAAGAGUUGAUCUACCACGAGAUCAAUUCGGCUAACCCUAGUUAGCUAGCCUAGCAAUGUUAUGAUCCUGCCUCCGCUCUAACCCUCCGGUUUAUAUAGAUACUGGAGGAGCUUAGGGUUUGUACAAAGUCGGUUUUACAGAAAGGAACAAUAUAUCCGGACACAUAUACUUGCCAUCCACGCAUGUGAGAGUCCCCACCAGAUACGGGAGAGGAUCUUCGGUCUUGUAUCUUGAUGGCCCAUCAGUCCGGCCCACAAAUGUUGACCGGGUGCCCGAUGACCCCCUAAUCAAGGACUCCCACAGUCCCCGCGAUGAGGGUGGUGUGGGUAGCCCAAGUGCGCGCCAUCUUCAUUCGUUGCUCCUCCAGUUUCAGGUACGCCAUCAUCUUUGGGAACUUCGGGUUGGGGAUGAGGGUGAGGUUGGAGGCGGUGUUCCCGAACUCCUUUUUCAGGCCAGCGGUGAGGCUACUGAGAAGAAGCUCGUCAAAGACCUUCUCGCCGAGAUCACGGAGCUCAUCGGAGAGCUUCUUGAGGCGCAUGCAAAAGUCGUCAAUGGACGAGUCAUGCUGCUGACACCCAAAAAACUCACCGUGCAAGAAAACAUUGCGCUGAAGCUUGUUGUUGGUGAAGAGGCCGUCGAGCUUGGUCCAACCGGCAUGAGCGUCAUCCUCAUCAGAGACCAUCGUGUGGAAAAGAUCCUUCAAGAUGGUGGUGUAGAACCAGCGGAUGAGAGUGGAGUUGAUGGCCAUCCACUCGUCAUCGUUCACCAUGAGACUGCAGUCCACGGAGCCAUCGACAUGAUCCCGAAGAUUGUACUCACGGAAUAUGAGAGAAAAAUAUGUUUUCCACGCAUACUAGGUGGAGGUGUGGUGAUCUAGGAUGACGGGAACACGGCCAAGGAUGUUGAGGUCAUGGAUGAGGACAUGAUCAGGACCGGCGAAUGGGUUGGUGCGCUUGGAGAUGGAGGAGCCAGGGGACGACAUGACGCAGCGGGAGGGAGGAAGGUGUGGCGGCUGUGGAGAGCAACAGCAGCAGCGGGAGGGAUGGCGGCGGCUGCGGCGGAGGGCAGCGGCGGCAGGGUGGGAUGACGGUGGCGGCUGUAGUGCAAGGGACAGCGGCGGCGGCAUUAGGGUUAGGGGGCGGAAUCUAGGAUGGGGCGGCGGCGGCGACAUGAGGCGGUAGCGGCAGCGGCUUGGGAAAGACGCGGCAGCGGUAGCAUGGAGUGGCGGUGGCGGUGGUGGCUGGGAGCAGCGGCGGGGGCGAUGAUGAUUGUGGCGGCGGGGGUGGCGAGUAAGGGUUAGGGCAGGAUCAAAGGUAUGAUACCAUGUAGGAAGAUAAGUUUUGGCAAUGCAACUCUUGAUAUAUUGAUCGGGUGCAUAAGCAUGUAUAUAUGGUGUACAAUGUGGGCCUCGACCUCUACUAUACAAAGACUAGGAGGUGGGCCAAGAUACACAAUAUACAUGCAAACCAUAUAUUCAACAAUGUGAGUCUUUGCUUGUUUUGCUUUUUAGUUUGUCACAAUUAUCCUUCCUGGACACACCUAUUUGAGAGAGCCAUAACGAUGUUAUGAUUUGUUAGAAUUGCGAUGUGUGCUUCACUUAAAUUUUUUGAGCUAUGGAAUUGCUCUAGUACUUCACUUAUAUCUUUUUGAGUGUAGUGGAGUUUUAAUUUUGAAGAAAUAUGCUCUCAUGCUUCACUUAGAUUAUUUUGACAGUUAGUAAAAUUCUAGGAAAUAUCCUCUCAUGCUUCACUUAUAUUAUUUUGUCAGAUGAAAACUAUUUUGAAGAAAUUUCUUCUCUCGUUCUUCACUUAGAUUUGUUUGAGAGCUUUGUUAGCAGCGAUGGUAAUAUAUGAAAUUAGUCCCAAAGUGAUAGAUAUUCAAGAGGGAUAUAAUAAAAACUUUUAUGAAGAUCAUUGGAUGUUAAAACUUGAUUCCUUGUAAUAGUUCUGAGAUAUGAUGAUACUAAUAUAUGAGUCAUGUUGGUGAAUAAUUAUGCUUUAGUAAGAAUAUUGGUGUUAAGGUUUGUGAUUCCCUAUGCAAGCACGAAAGUCAAUAGUUAGACGCAUUAUUCGGUGCUAGUUAUGUUUAAUGCUCUUUUAUGAUCUUUUUCGUUUCUUGAUUGGUCGCUCCUCAAUCUAUUUACUAGCCUCCAUUUAUACUAAGAAGAAAUACUACUUGUGCAUCCAAACUCCUUAAACCAAGUUGUGCCAAAUGAGUCCACCAUACCUACCUAUAUGCGGUAUUUCCAUGCCGUUCCAAGUAAAUUUGUAUGUGCCAACUCUAAUUUUCAAAAUGAACUUCCUUUUUGUGUGCCCAUACCGCUCAUGAAGCGGCAGGAGGUGGCCAGUAUUUUUCAUGCUAGAUAUUUUAUUCUCAAGAUGAGUGUUUAUUCACUUGUCAUUGCACGAGAGUGUGGCAAAGUAAUAGGGAUGCCCAGUCCCGAAAUGAAACAAAUAUUAUUUAUGUUGUUCAAUAAUAAAUUCCUUCGAGAGUGUUGGUAUGGAAGGCACCCGUGGAUGCGGCUAGCCAUGGCUUGUGAAAGAAUGGUGGAAAAAGGAAUAAACUUUAUUUUCUGUUUGGGAACCGCCUAUGAUUUAUCUAGGAUGGAAAGUAUUUGGAAUUCUCGGUCAUUUUCGUUGACGGGAAAAGCAUGCCUCUCAAAAUAAUUAUCUCUCAAAUUAAGCUUUGAGCUCUGGCACUUCUACAAAUCUCUUCUUCCCUCUGUGAAGGGCCUAUCUAUUUACUUUACGCCAUUUUUAUUUUUAUUGAGUCUCCAUCUUCUCUUAUAAAGCACCAACUAGGGAACACUAUAUCAUACUUGUGCAUUGGGCAUAGUUAAUAUUUGAGUGUGUUUCAUGAAUGGAUCAAUAUGAUUGGGCAUAAUGGGCUAGGGAUAGCUUUCUUUAGUGUUGAUAUUUUGAAAGACAUGGUUGCUUGUUGAUAUGCUUGAGUAUUGAUGUCCUCGUGUCAAAUAUAGACUAUUGCUUUGACUCAUCUAAAAUUCCAAAUGUUCAUGCUACAAAAGAAAAGAAUAUGUGAUGAACAUGUUAAGCAGCAUUCCACAUCAAAAAUUCUAUUUUUAUCAUUUACCUACUCGAGGACGAGCAGGAAUUAAGCUUGGGGAUGCUGAUACUUCUCCAACGUAUCUAUAAUUUUAUAUUGUUCCAUGUUGUUAUAUUAUAAAUCUUGGAUGUUUUAUAUUCAUUUUAUAGCAACUUUAUAUCAUUUUUUGGGGUAACCUAUUGACAUAGUGCCCAGUGCCAGUUGCUGUUUUUUUGCUUGUUUUUUACUUCGCAGAAUAUCCAUAUAAAAUGGAGUCCAAAUGCAGCAAAACUUUUUAGAGAUUUUUUUCUGCCCAGAAGACAUCCAGGAGGCCCAAGAGUUGCACCAUAGGAAGCCCGUGGGGCCCACUAGGCACCAGGGCGCGCCAGCGCCCUGGUGGGUAGUGGGGCCCAUGGGAGUCUCCUCCACCGCCUCUCAGCUCUAUAAAUACCCAAAUAUUCCAGAAACCCUAGGGGAGUCGGUAGAUCAAAGUUUCCACCGCCGCAAGUUCCAGAACCACGAGAUCCAAUCUAGAGCCCUUUUCUGGCACCUUGUCGGAGGGGGAACCGAUCACUGAGGGGUACAUCAUCCUCAUUGGUGCUCCUCCGAUGAUGCGUGCGUAGUUUACCAUAGACCUAUGGGUCUAUAGGCAGUAGCUAGAUGGCUUCUUCUCUCUUUUUGAUCUUCAGUACAAUGUUCUCCUCGAUGUUCUUAGAGAUCUAUUUGAUGUAACUCUUUUUUUGCGGUCUGUUUGUUGGGAUCCGAUGAAUUGUGAGUUAUGAUCAGAUCUAUCUAUGAAUAUUAUUUGAGUCUUUGUUGAGCUCUUAUCUGCAUGAUUGUUAUAGCCUCGUAUUUCUUCUCCGAAACUUUGAUUUGGUUUGGCGAACUAGAUUGAUUUUUCUUGCCAUGGGAAGAGGUGCUUUGUGAUGGGUUCGAUCUUGCGGUGCUCAAUCUCAGUGACAGAAGGAGACAUGACACGCAUGUAUCGUUGUCAUUAAGGAUAAAAAAUGGGGUCUAUUCCUACAUGAAUAGAUCUUGUCUACAUCAUGUCAUCGUUCUUAUUACAUUACUCUGUUUCUUCAUGAACUUAAUACACUAGAUACAUGGUAGAUAGCAGUCGAUGUGUGGAGUAAUAGUAGUAUAUGCAGGCAGGAGUCGGUCUACUAAUCUUGGAUGUGGUGCCUAUAUACAUGAUCAUUGCCUUGGAUAUAGUCAUAAUUAUUUGCUCUUCUAUCAAUUUUCCAACAGUAAUUUGUUUACCCACUGUAUGUUAUUUUCUCGAGAGAAGCCUCUAGUGAAAUCUACAGCCCCCGAGUCUAUUUUCUAUCAUAUUGUUUUCAGAUCUAUUAAUCCAAAAAUCCAAAAAUGCAUGGCUGCACUUUUUCUUUACCUAUUUUAUUUUGUGUUUUCGCUAGAUCUAUUUAUUCGAUCUCAUACAAUUUAAUCUAUCUCAAUACCGAGGAGGGAUAGACAACCCCUCUUACUCGUUGGGUUGCAAGUUUUUGUUAUUUUUGUGAAGGUACUGCUUACAUAGUUUGGUGGAUCCUCCUACUGGAUUGAUACCUUGGUUUCAUAACUGAGGAAAAUACUUACUGCUGCUGUGCUGCAUCAUCCUCUCCGCUUCAGGGAAAUACCAAUGUAGAUACAAGCAAGAGGGUAGCAAGGUGAAGCGAAGACGUAGAAUUCAAUUCAUUGUUCUUCUUCUCUUUCUUGAGUCUUAGGACCUCCAUACUAUUAAGAGGGGUAUAGGUUCUCGGAGCUUAGAUCCACCGUGAUGCUUAGCCCGGAACCUAUGCAAGACUGAGAGGUGAUUAGGGAGGUGUCCUAUCAUGAAUAAUACAAUGUUCCUCACAAAAUUCAUCAAAUACUUUGGGAAAAUAUUCUCCACCAUGAUCCGACCUAAGACGCUUGAUCUUUCUCUCUAGUUGUUUUUCAACUUCCGCUUUAUAGAUUUUAAAGUACUCUAAAGCUUCAUCUCUAGUUUGCAACAAAUAAACAUAGCAAAAUCUAGUCCCAUCAUUAAUCAACAUCAUGAAAUAUCUCUUUCCACCUUUUGUCAACACACUAUUCUUCUAACAUAGAUCAGAAUGUAUGAGUUCUAGAGGUGCCAAGUUUCUCUCCUCGGCAACCGUGUGAGGCUUUAGCGGUUGCUUCUAUUGCACACAACUAUGACACUUAUAACCUUUGGCAACAGUGAAAUUCAGAACUAAAUUCAUACUGCAUAGUCGGGGCAUUAAACCAAAAUUAAUAUGACAUAAACGAGAGUGCCGAACACUUGCAUCAUCAUUAACACUAGCACAAAUUUGGUUUACUGACUUAUUGCAAAAAUCUGGAAGGGAAAAACGGAACAUGACUCCGCACUCAUAGCCUUUGUCUAUAAACUGUCCAAAUCUUGACACGGUUACUUUAUUUGACUCUAAAACUACCCUAAACCCAUCUCGACAUAGACGGGAGCCGCUAACUAGAUUCUUGUUCAUAGUAGGGACAUGUUGAAUGUUCCUUAGCUGUGCGAUCUUCCCCGAAGUAAACUUCUGAUCCACCGUGUCAAUGCCACAAACAAAAGCAUGCGACCCAUUCCCCGUUAGGACGGAAGAAUCCCUUGAGAGCUGGUAAGAAGUGAACAAAGAGACAUCAGCACACACGUGAACGUUAGCACCCGAAUCAAUCCACCAAGAAGAUGAUUGAAAUAGUGAAAGAACAAUAGGUAAAUUACCAUACCCAUCAGUAUUGCUAGCGGUCACCAUGUUGUCAGUCUUGGAGCUCGUUUUCCCUUUGCGGUCUGCACAGUCUAGGCAUUCCUUGGAAAAGUGUCUGGGCUUCCCAUAGGCGUAGCACUCUAACUCAACCUUGUUGAACUUCUUCUUGACGGUAGUAGUCUUGACAGGCUUGUCGAAAAUAGGCUUGUUCUUCCCUUUGUUCUUGUUCCCUAGGUCAGUAGGUUGAACCUCACCUCUUUUCUCAAUAGUGUCUUUAGCCCGAGCUUUCUCUUCAACAUCAAGAGAUGCAAUCAGAUUUUCAACUAAUAUCUCAUGUCUCUUAUGUUUCAGAGUACUCGCGAAGUUCUGCAUGAAGGAGGUAACUUUGCAAUCAUGCACCCAACCAUGAAUUUAUCGGGUAAAUCACACUUAAGGAGUUCCAAUUCCUACAUAAUGCAUUGUAUCUCAUGAGCUUGUUCAAGCACAUAACGGCUAUUCACCAUCUUGUAGUCGUGGAAAUUCUCCAUGAUGUACAGUUCACUGCCUGCAUCGGUUGCACUGAGUUUAGCAUGUAGUGCAUCUCACAGUGUCUUUCUAUCUUGUAUGUGCAUGUACACAUCACACAGACGGUCAGCAAGAACACUCAAAAUGCAUCCCACAAACAUAGUAUUGGCUUCCUAGAACUUUCUCUAAUCUUCAUCAGACAUUCCCUCUGGAGCACCAACACUAACGUGAAAAACUUUCAGAGUAGUAAGCCAGAGCGUGGACUUCGCCUGCCACCUCUUAACAUGCACACCGGUAAACAUAUGGCCUCGGUGCAUUAGUGAAUCUAGCCAUAGUUAACUUAGGAAAUUGCCUACAAUUGAGUAGCACCACCCGACUUGGAUGGAAGACAACUUCUGACUCCAAAAAGCUAGUUUGUCCUCUCCCAGUGCAGGAUCGCAAGGACGACUGGUUCCGGAGACCUGCUCUUCGAUACGUAGAUGCACGCCGACGUUCGGGAUGAAGCACGUAUGCACCGCCCGCCCCGGCCAGGCGAGCAAUCAAGCGUGUGUGAUCUUCCCUUUCUCUUCUCAACACACUAUUUAGAGCGGUGGAGAGAACCCACUAUAUAACUCUUCCUCAACUAGCGAUAUGGGACUUAACUUUAGCACCACCACUUGCCAUUUUAUUCAUGGGCCACCAUUUUCUUAGAAAAGGAGGAUUACCCUCGGCUUCUGCAUCUGGGCGAUGCAUGUAGCCAUUUUAUUAAUUAUUCAUAAGGACCUUACAAAGUAGUACAUCAGGUAGUCUGAAGCCAUCAUCUUAGCAACAACUAUUGCUACUCCUAUCCACUUGAUGAAGGGGUGCCGAUAGUUCGAGCCUAAUACCAAACAAACAUCGCAUCAAAGCCUAACAUCUAAAGCAGGAGGCCCCAACCAAUCCACAUACUGGGUUUGGGGUACAAACCGGUCUCAUACACUCUCGUGUGUCGUCGCCGCCGUCUUCUACCAUUCCAUCUUCGGAGCAGAAACUAGCGCACCAACCUUGCCAGGCCUCUUUGUCAUCGAUGUCACCAUGACGCCAGAUAGCGUCCUCCUCCUGCACGAGUCCAUCUCCGCGCAUCAAACGCUGAGUCUCCACUGCGUCACGCUGCCGAGAUCCGCCGCCAUCAAUGUGUAAGAUGGAGCACCACUCCACCAAAGAAGUUGUCCACUGGUCCCUCGAUCCCGUGUACACCUUCAAGAAUGACGCCCCCAAGGGAGAAACGACACCAGAGCGCCGCCAUCAUCCGAUCUACUGAUCUAGGGUUUCCCCCGGAGGUAGCGAAUAGAGGUCCGAAACUUCUCCAUGGCGAUGCCUUCAAGAAGGUAACGACACGAAAGAGUGCCAGCAUCGCUGGUCUUGGCAACAAGCCGAGAAUGAGAUUUUUCACCCGGAUCCGCUCGACAAACCUCCAUCAAGCAUCAUGUGCACGGGUCGCCACCGAUCUGAGCCGCCGCGUAGCGAGCGGGCCGCACCGGUCAGAUCAGAUAUGUCUGAAGGCCAGACCACUCAUUGCGCCGACCCGUCCACCAGGCCCUCCAUGCCGCUGUCGGCGAUCCAAGGUCAGAUUGCCCGUCGCCGCAGAUCCGGUCGCCGCCACCGAACACAGCCAACGCCGCUGCCCGCAGCAAGGACGGUCGUCGCACUCGCAGUCAUCGCCACCCGAGGAAGGGCCGGCCGCCGCGCCGCCGCCGGUCAAGGCAGGGACGCCCGCUGCGCCGCCAAGGCCAGAUCGGCUGCGCCCCUUCACACCGUGGGGCUCCGCACCAUCCCCAUGGUGUAGGAGAGGGGGAGGCCCCCGCCACCGCCGCUGGUCCCUGGGCUAUAGGCCGGCAACGUCCUUCGAUGGCGGCAGAGGGAGGGAAAGAAGGAGAGCCCCUGAUGGCUAGGGUUUCGUCCCCACCCGAGCAGGUAGGUGACACGGGGGGUCAUGGGCCACCAUUUGAGAUUUCAGAAAUUGUUAUGGCCCUAGUCCAUUUAUUUCUAACGAGACCGAAGGAUCUCUUGCAUGGGCGAGAUAUAGCCUCGGCGUCCAUAUCCAUCGCCACAGAUGGACGACCCCAACCGUGGGCAUGUCCCAACCCCUCUCGUGCAAUCUGCAUUACUUCUUGUCACGGCGAAGCAAGGCCCCAGUGCAUAGCACGAGCCUUCCUGUAACCCCGUUGCUAUGAUUCAGACCCAUCGUCGGUUGCUGGAGUUGAGUUCUGCAACAGCAUUUUUCUUCAACUUGAAAUCCCAGCAAUUUUGGUGCACAUGAACUUCAGAUGAUUUUUGCUCAAACUGAAGUGGGUGACCAAGUUGUGACUCACCCAACCCAACAAAUACUGAAAGAAAAGGUGCAAGACCCAAGUACGGAAUGAAGCAUGAAAGAUGAACAGGGAACAAGGAGUAAAACAUCAUUUCACAGAGUCUCAAGUGAGAACAAACAAUCAGGUUGCGUGACACACCCAACAACCUUGACCCUUUUUAACCCAACUUAGCACGGCCACGAACAACAGGUCCUUCCCCUCCACAACAGCAACAGCACCAGCAAUGUGUGUGUAUCUUGUACAUCAUAUAGAAACAUCCUUUGUUGGGUAAAACAAGACAAAGCGACGCUAUUGCCCUAGCGACAGAGGGACUGGACCGACUCUUGUGUAGUAUCUAGCUUACAGUUACAAUAUCACCUCACAACAAUACACGACACGUCUUGGGUGCUGGAUGUUCCUCUUCUGUCCAGUCGUCUCUCUUGGCGGGCACACAAAUUAUUGUCGACGGUACACUUGACAUUCAU
rnacentral:lncRNA from 1 species